rnacentral:lncRNA from 1 species
GCCGUCAUCCCAUUGUCUUUCUAAAUUAAAGAUCAUAAAAUGCCCUAACUUGGCAUCCUUCAAUACGGCAUCAUUACCUCGUCUUGAGGAACUAAGCCUGCGUGGAGUCAGAGCAGAGGUACUGAGGCAGUUCAUGUUUGUCUCUGCUUCUUCUUCAUUGAAGUCUCUGCGUAUACGGGAGAUUGAUGGUAUGAUAUCUCUCCCAGAGGAGACGCUUCAAUAUGUUUCCACUCUCGAAACUCUCUACAUUGUUAAGUGCUCUGGUUUGGCAACAUUACUACACUGGAUGGGCAGCCUUUCCUCGCUUACGGAACUUAUUAUUUAUGACUGCUCUGAAUUGACAUCACUGCCAGAAGAGAUCUAUUCCCUAAAAAAACUGCAGAAAUUUUAUUUCUGUGAUUAUCCACACCUACGGGAAAGAUACAACAAGGAAACAGGUAAAGACCGGGCCAAGAUUGCUCAUAUCCCACAUGUUCGUUUCUACCUUGAUUCCGAUAUGGAAUGGCAGGUAGGUCCGAAAUCCCUAACCUUUCUUCCCAUUUUUAUUAUUUAAGAAUCAAAAUGCUAUGUUUUCAUUUUGUCUCUGGUAGUUCUUUUAUGUUGGCACCUCAUAUGUUUGUUUAAAUGCUCACAUCAAUAACUUUUUGAAAAAUUUUCCAGAUUAACAUCAUUUGCUGAUGCUGUGCACUAAACUAAUCAUUUUACUUGGGAGUUGUACAUUCUAAGAGUUUGAGGAAAUAUUGAGGUCUGGUAUGAUAACUCUCAAUCCUUGGAACUGCAUUCAUCUCCUUCUCUUUCUCGAUUAACAAUCCAUGAUUGCCCAAACUUGGCAUCCUUCAAUGUGGCAUCAUUACCUCGUCUUGAGGAACUAAGCCUGCGUGGAGUCAGAGCAGAGGUACUGAGGCAGUUCAUGUUUGUCUCUGCUUCUUCUUCAUUGAAGUCUCUGUGUAUACGGGAGAUUGAUGGUAUGAUAUCUCCCAGAGGAGCCGCUUCAAUAUGUAUCCACUCUCGAAACUCUCUACAUUGUUAAGUGCUCUGGUUUGGCAACAUUACUACACUGGAUGGGCAGCCUUUCCUCGCUUAAGGAACUUAUGAUUUAUGAAUGCUCUGAAUUGACAUCACUGCCAGAAGAGAUCUGUUCCCUUAAAAAACUGCAGAAAUUUUAUUUCUGUGAUUAACCACACCUAGAGAAAAGAUACAACAAGGAAACAGGUAAAGACCGGGCCAAGAUUGAUCAUAUCCCACGUAUUAAUUUCCAAAGUGAUCGAGUUAUGGAAUAUAAGGUCCGAAAUCCCUAACCUUUCUUCCCAUUUUUAUUAUUUAAGAAUCAAAAUGCUAUGUUUUCAUUUUAUUAUUAUGUUUUCAUUGUAUCCCUGGCACCUCAUAUGUUUGUUUUUACUGCUCACAUUAAUAAUUUUGAAAUUUUUUUCCAGCUUGGAUACGCUUUCCGAUGAUGUGCACUAAACUAACAAUUUUACUUGGAGUUGUACAUUCUAAGAGUUUGAGGAAAUACUGAGGUCUGAUAUGAUAACUCUCAAUCUUAAACGUUGUUUUGUGUUUGGAACGUUACUACACUUGAUACAUACCCUCACCUCACUUACAGAGCUUGGAAAUCGUGGCUGCCUUGAAUCGACGUCACUGUCAGAAUAUAUGUUCCCUCAAAAACCUGCAGACACUAAAUAAUCUGCAUCUGUUCACAGAAAGAUGCUGAAAGGAAAGGUGAAGACCAACCCAAGAUUGCUCAUAUGCCACAAAUUGAUAUCAUACAUCCAUGAAGAUUGAACUGAUACACAAUGCCUUUCAGGUCUGAAAUCCCUAACUUUUCUUCUCAUUUUCUAUGACUUCAUUUUCAUUAUCUUACUUUUAAAAUGCUCUGUUUUCAUUUGUUUUGGUAGUUCUUUGUAUUUGUGCCUUACUUGUUUGAUUAAAUGCUUACAUCUUCAAAUUAUUUUAUUCUAAGUGUUUUGCAUUCUAAGAGUUUGAGGAAAUACUGAGCUCUAAUAUAACUAGUAGAGUCCACCAUUCCUAAGAAGCUUACCAUUUCCUAGUGCCCAAAGGAUCCCGAAAGGAGACAACUUUGGAUUGGCUUGAAGAUUUCCCAUGGUCCAAAAAUUUGUAUUUACUAGACGCUUGAUACAAAAAGUAGUUUAAAUUUAGCCAUUAAUAUAACUUUUUUAUUAGAGAAAUAAUUGCCAAACAAAUGCAAAAUAGAAAAUGGUGUUAAUGAAUUCAGUCCUUCAUCUAUAUUGCAGUUUAGCAGCUUUUGUUAGAUAACAGGUAUGGGGUUGGGUUUAUUAUGUUACCAUUCCAAAUAUUCUUAAAAAAAUCAUCAAGGCUUUGUUUGUUUUCUUGAAAAUUUGAAGGAAAAAAUAAAGAGAAAAAGUGGAAGGAAAAAAAAAAGUGGAAGUCAAUAAAUUAUUUUUAUAUUAUACUUUAAACUCAUUUCACUUUUUUUUAACUCUUUGAUUUAAAGAUUAAAUAAUUUGAAAAUGUAUAAAUUUAUAAUUAAUCUUAAUUAUAUUUGAUUUUCUUUGGUAUUUUCCAUAGGACAAUUAAACUUGAGAAAAUCAUUUUCCUUAACAUUAUUUUCUUAGUACUUUUCGGGAACCAAGCAUAACCUAAAUGUUCUAGUUUAGUUUAGCAGCUUCAUCAAAUUAGAUAGACAACCUCACAUCUCUUAUUCAGCUGAGGUGUUAUGUUAGUUAAUGUUUUGUCUCUGCUUCUUCAUUGAAGUCUGUCUAUUGGAUGCACAGAUGAUAUGAUCCAAACUUAAAUUGAACGUUGCUCUUGUUUUGCAACAUUACUGUACUAGAAAGGCAACUUGAACUCACUUAUAGACCUACCUAUUGGUGACUGCAUUGAAUUGACAUCACCUUAGAAGAGAUGUGUUCCACAUGGAAAAUCUUUCAUUAUAUGCACCUACUUGCAAGAUACCAAAAGGAAACGGGUGAAUACUUGCCCAAGAAUACAAAGGGCCACACUUGGUGAAGGUUUCAUCAGUAAGGAGAACCAUUUCAAGUAUGAAAUCCUCCAUUCUCAUUUUUUGAUGACUUCAUUUUUAUUCAAUAUCCAUUUGAAAUAAUUUAAGUUCAUUUUCUUUAGAUAUUAUAUUUUCUUGCUUGCUCAAUAAUUUCAUUCAAGUAAGUUGUUUGGAUAUCACAUUUUCUUUGGGUUUUUUUCUUUUUAGAAUAAUUUCAAAAUGUCAUUUUUUACUAUUCACAAAAUUUGAUCAUAGUUGAGUGAUUAAAAUUCAAGUUUAUUCUUAUUAUCAUUAGUAGUUAUUUGAUAUAUUUGUUUGCUAAUACAAAAAUAAGACUAACAAGUAAUGUGCAUAGAGUUUGUAGAAGAGAAGAAAGAUUUGAUCCAAGAUAUUCCUAAAGAUCGGAAACUUUCAAAGCCACCCAAGAUCCCACAGGUUGAAUUCAGAUUCAUUCAGUUUACAAUCCAUUAAUUCUACUUAUAUCAUCUUUGUUAUGUUACAAUUUGCCUUUACUUGUUAUGCAGCCUACCUUAAUAAUUUGGGGAGACCAAGAUAAGGUAUUCCUAGUAGAAUUGGCUCACAAAUUGAAAAGGUAAACUUGUAUCACCUACCUACAUACCUACAACAAUACAAACACUAGCUCAUGUCUUUCUCACUAUUGAAAUUGUUAUUGCAUGCAGACAUUUCAGGUGAGGAGGCCCAACUUGUGAUCAUAGAGCAUACUUUUAUUAUAGAGAAGCCCAAGGAAAUAUUUAAGCACUUGAAAUCCUUUCUCAUUGAUUUGCUUCCACCUCCCAAGCAACACCUAGAACCACUCGCACCAUGACGAAGUUAAAAGGAACUAAUGCAACAUUCUCAAUAUAUUAGAAUAUAUCGAAGGAAGGGUGGCCACAUAUGAAGACCCUAUUCCAAGGUCAAAUUUUAGAUUUUUGUGUUUUUCUUAUCACUAUUCCUAUACUAUUACUAGUGCACCUUAUUUGUCAAGAUGAUUAAAAGGGAAUUCCCUAGGAUAACUAGUGUCUCAAGUGAUCUUGAGGUUCAUAAAUUUUUGGUUUCCAUAAGAUAGGUGCCAACUAUUUUUAUUUUUUUUACACCCAUGCAAUAUUCCGGUCAUCUAUUAACAAAGGCUAAAAUUUCUUGUAGAGAAUAGAAUAAAGAACUAAAUUACAUGCAAAUAGGACAUUAUUAUUCUAUUUACAAGUAAGGGCCAAAAAUUAUUGAGGGCCAUCAAGCACAUUGUUCCUAAAAUAAUAGCAUCCAUGUUGUUGAGCAAAAGUUUUUUUAUAUUGGCACCUCAUAUGUUUGUUUAAAUGCUCACAUCAAUAACUUUGAAAAUAUUUUCCAGAUUUUCAACAAAUUGUAAUGUUGUGCACUAAAUUAAUCAUUUUACUUGGAGUUCUACAUUCUAAGAGUUUGAGAAAAAACUAAGGUCUGAUAUGACAACUCUCAAUCUUAAAUGUUGUUUUGUGUUUGGAAUAUUACUGCACUUGAUAGAUGCCCUUACCUCUGUUACAGAACUUGGAAUUCAUGGCUACCCUGAAUUGACAUCCCUACCAGAAGAUAUGUUCCCUUAAAAGCUUGCAGACACUAAACAAUUUGCAGCUGUUCACACUUAGAGGAAAGUUGCUGAAAGGAAAAGUGAAGACUAACCAAAGAUUGCUCAUAUCCCACAAAUUGAUAUCAUACAUCCAUGAAGAUUGAACUGAUACAGAAUGUCUUUUAGGUCCGAAAUCCCUAACUUUUCUUCUUAUUUUCUAUGACUUCAUUUUUAUUAUCUUACAUUCAAAAAUCUUCUGUUUUCAUUUGUUUUGGUAGUUCUUUUUAUUUGCACCUUAUUUGUUUUAUUAAAUGCUUACUCCAGUAAGUUUGAAAAUUUUUACAUCUUCAAAUCAUUUUGCUUGAGUGUUUUGCAUUCUAAGAGUUUGAGGAAAUACUGAGCUCUAAUAUAAAUAGUAUUGGUCAUAGAGUCUUCCUUUCUUAAGAAGCUUACCAUUGACCUAAUGGCCAAAGGAUCCCAAAAGGAAACGACUUUGGGUUGGCUUGAAAAUUUCACAUGGUCCAAACAUUCAUAUUUACUAGAUGCCUGAUAUAAAAGAACUUUUGUUCUCUUUUCAAUUUAGCCAUUGAUGUAGUCUAAAUGUUUUAUUAGAGCAAUAAUUGUCGAGUAAAUGCAAAAUAGAGAAUGGUGUUAAUGAAUUCAGUACUUCAUCUAUGUUGUAGACUUGUAGUUUAGCAGCUUCUGCUGAUAAUGAGUGUGGGGUUGGCUUUAUCAUGUCACUGUUCCAAAUAUUCUUUAAAAAAUCAUUUAAGCUCUGUUUGGUUCUUAGAAAAUUUGAGGGAAAAUGUGAGGAAAACAAAAUAGAGAGGAAAAGUGGAAGGAAAAAAAAAGUGAAAGUCAAUAAAUUAUUUUUGUAUGCUACUUCAAACUCACUGCACUCUUUUUAACUCUUUAAUAUAAAAAUUAAAUCAUUUGAAAAAUGUAUAAAUUUCUAAUUAAUUUUAAUUAUAUUUGAUUUUCUUUGGUAUUUUCCAAAAGACAACCAAAUAUGAGAAAAUCAUUUUCCUUAACAUUUUUUUUCUUAGUACUUUUAGGGAACCAAACAUAACCUAAAUGUUUUAGUUUAGUAGUUUCAUCAAAUUAGAUAGAUAACCUCACAUCUCUUAGUGAGCUGAGGUGCUAUGUUAAUUAAUGUUUUGUCUCUACUUCUUCAUUGAAGUCUCUAUCUAUUGGACGCACAGAUGAUAUGAUCCAAACUCAAAUUGAACACUACUCUUGUUUUGCAACAUUACUUUACUCAAUAAUUUCAUUCAAGUUCUUUGGAUAUCGCAUUUUCUUUGGUGUUUUUUUUAGAAUAAUUCAAAAUGUCUUUUUUAACGGUUCACAAAAUUUGAUUACAGUUGAGUGAUUAAAAUUCAAGUUUAUUAUUAUUAUUAUUAUUAUUAUUAUUAUUAUUAUUAUUAUUAUUAUUAUUAUUAUUGGUUAUUUGAUAUAUUUUUUUUCUAAUAGAGACAAAAGACUGGCAGCUAAUGUGCAUAGAAUUUGUAGAAGAGAAUAAAGAUUUGAUCUAAGCUAUUCUUAAAGACCAGAAACUUUUAGAGCUACCCAAGAUCUCACAGGUUGAAUUUUGAUUCACCUAGUUUACAAUCCACUAAUUAUCCUUAUAUCAUUUUUGUUAUGUUACAAAUUGCCUUUACUUAUUAUGCAACUUGUCUUAAUAAUUUGGGAAGACCAAGAUAAGGUCUUCCUAGUAGAACUGGCUUACAAAUUGAAACGGUAAACUCAUAUCACCUAUCUACAUGCCCACAACAAUAUAAACACUAGCUCAUGUGUUCCUCACUAUUGAGAUUGUUGUUGCAUGCAGGCAUUUUGGGCGAGGAGGCUCGACUUGUGAUCAUCAAUAACACAAGGCAUGUUUUUAUACAGAGAAGCCCAAAGAAACUUUUAAGCAUUUUGUUAGCCCAAGGGUUCUCCUAAUCAGGUUUUGAUGAUAACAAACCAUGGUUAAGUGACUAAUUGGUUUGAAUGGUAAAGAAUCUUAGGUAUAAAUUUGGAAAUUCAUCAAAUGACCAAAUGGAUACAAGAUCGAGACUUUUGGAAGACUUUUGAUUAUAGGAAACAAAUGUAAGAUGAAUGCAUGGGUGCACUUAGGUUUUACAUAUCUUUUUAUGCAUCUUUGAAAACUCGGUUUAUUCCUUAAAAUUACGAUUUCAUUAAAACCCAGGUUUUAUCAAAUGUAUCUUAGGCAAAACGUUUCAAAAUUGGCAUAUCAAUUUACCUAAAGACCUUGCCUAAGUGUUAGAAAGGAAAAGAAUUGAAAAAUAUAGGUUUUCGGGGCUAAAAGACUGAACCGAUCGAGGCACAGUCAAUCGGCUCAACCAACCAGGGAACCGAACGAUCGGUUGCUCUUGUCCGACCGAGAUCUGGUCGAGGAGUGUCAAAAACACACUCUCUCAUCCAGUAGCCUUCUCUUCCCAGUCGAGGUACUCUCCUUCCCGAUCGACCUCUAGUCGAGGUUCAGUCGAGGCAACGGUAACCUACCAAAGCAUUAAAUGCUCCAACGGCUAGUGAACCAAUCGACCCCCAGCUCGACCGGUUAAGGCUGUUUUUUGCUUUUUUUGGCUCCCAAGCUUAGAAACCUAUAAAUUGAGAGCUCCACUUCAUUUAUGACAUAAAGAACACUUGCAAUCAAUUUUCUACCCACUUGUUCUUGCCUUAAAAGCUCUCAUUUAUUUCUUAGUGCAUUAAAUCCUCACUUGCAUAUCCUUUAGUGCACCCUUGUGAAUCAUCCUAGCUUUGAUUUGUAUUUGAGCUAUCAUUGAGCUAGAUUGAGGGCUUCAUUCUUGUAAAAAUUGAGUGUUAAAGCCUUCAAGAGGUUUGAAUCUUGAAGAGAUUAUGUAAGAGCCCAUUGGAGCCAGAAUCCAAGUUUAAAGGAGAUUGGAAGCUUUGUUGAAGCUUCAAGUUAGUGGAACCCUCACUCGGUUAGGAGAUUGAGGAGAGUGGACGUAGGCAAGGAAAUGUCGAACCACUAUAAAAUCCGAGUGUAAAUUUUCUAACUCUAUCUCUUUAUUUUUUAUUAUAUUGUGAUUGAAUUUGUUGUGUUGAAAAAGUUUUUGAAAAACCCAAUUCACCCCCCUAUUAGGUGUUUUUCUCAUUAAUUUGCUUCCACCUCAUAAGCAACCCUCAGAACCACUUACACCAUGACAAGGUGAAAAGAAACUAAUGCAACAUUCUCAAUAUAUCAGAAGAUAUCAAAGGAAGGUUGGCCACAUAUGAGGACCCUGUUUCUAAGGUAGAAUUUUAGAUUUUUGUGUUUUUCUUGUCACUGUUUCUAUACCAUUACUAGUGCACCUUAUUUUUCAAGGUGAUUAAAAGGGAAUUCCCUAGGAUAACUAAUGUCUCAGAUAAUCUUGAGGUUCACAAAUUUUUGGUUUCAACAAAAUAGACGUCAAACCAUUUUUAUUUUUUUCUACACCCAUGCAAUAUUCCAUUCAUUUAUUAAUAAGGACUAAAAUUUCUUGUAGAGAAUGGAAUAAAGAACUAGAUUAAAUGAAAUAAGACAUUAUUAGUCUAUUUACAAGUAAGGGCAAAAAAUUCUUAAGGGUCAUUAAGCACACUGUUCCUAAAAUAAUAACAUCCAUGUCAUUGAAGUUUAUUGCAAUUACAUUAGCAUAUAAAACAAAACUAUUUUUUUUUUCUUUAUGUUCACACCUUAUCCAUUUGAUAAAAUGCUUAAACAAGUAAGUUUGAAUUUUUUUUUUUUUUUUUUUUGUUUUCAAAUCAAUUUAAAUUUUACAUUCAAAAGUUGAAUUAUUAUUAUUUUUUUUGGAAAAUUUAACCGCACUUUAGAAGUUUGUGAUUAUUCUUUGGUCCAUCUUAAAAUGAGUUCCUGCAUUCUUCCAUUCCUCAAAUUAAAAUCACAAUAAAAAGUUUUAGAUUGACCUAAAAUUUUCUCAUGGCUUAGAAAUUCAUAUCUACUAGAUGGCUAAAGCAAAAAACACUUUUGCCUUGUAUUUUAAGUAAUCCUUGCCUGCUAUUUGUUUAUUGAGAGCAUCAUACAAGUUGUGAUUAUAUUUCUUAAUUUUUUUAUAUGAUAAGACAGUAAUUGGAUUGAGAAAGAUGCAACUUGUGGAGCAGAAAAUUUCUUAACUACUUCCCUUGUAUUUGCUUUGUGUGUAUCAACUGUUCUAUUAAUUAUUUUUUAAAAAUAUCACUAAAACAAACCUAUUAUGUCAGUGCUCUCUAUUGUUAUGUAUCAUAAUUUAGCUAUUUUUUCCCUAGAAAUCAUGCUUGUUAUUGUGUUAAUCAGUAGGUAGCAUAAGAACUAUUUUGUUCAAGUUAUUUUGUAUUGGCAUUCUUCAUGUUUCAAAAUAUUGUCAGACUAGCAAUUUUACUGCAGAUAUAAUGUUCUCAAAUCAAUGCAAAAAUGGACGAUUGUGGGUCUUGGGCACAACCUUCCUUGAAGAGUUGAAUUGAGGGUUUCUAUAAACUAGGUCUCUAUAUCAAUAGAUUCUACAUUUCAUCACUAUGGAGACCUUACAAUAAAUAUCGCAAAAAGCUUCAUUUACUACAUAGUAAGGAUAAUCCUAAGGACUUAAAAGUUUGAGUUGUCUCUUCCAUGGCAGCUUCAGAUCUCUUAAUGAGCUCCCAGUCAUUGCCUACCUUGAAUAUAAAUCACUGCUAGAAGUAUGUGCCCUCAACAUUCCCAUGUUCCCGAUAUUGACUAGAUAUUUGUUGCUAAUUCAUGAAGAAUUGAAGGGAUCUUUGAUAAUGACAUCUAUAAUGUACUUCAAGUUCAUGAUCCAAACUCUCUUCUUGCUUUCAAUAACUUCAUUUUUUUUUAUAUUACUUUAUGGUCAAUGUUAUAAGAAUGUUGUAUUUUGUUUACCUGAUUCUCAUCCAUCAGCACACAGGAAAGGAAAAGUUUUACAUUGCUUUCCUUCCCUUUGCUCUGUGUUUAUAUAUGUUUAUGCAGCUAAUGUGAACUUCCACCAUAACUUUUUAAGUUUUUUUCAUUCUCGAGUUUGGGAAACAACUAGAUUUGAUUGUAAUAUUUUCUUGUAGAUAUCACCUUUCUUAAAAAGCUUGCAUUUAUUCACAUUUUCAAGAUGACUAAGUCAUCUGAUUAUGCUUAGAACUAUUGGUUUCUAUUAAAUUCAGGUAUGAUGUUUGCAAUUUUAAGCCUCUUACUCCUCUUGAAGACUACAUAAGUUUCUAGUGCUUUUACUUUAAUGGUUAUGGUCAAUGUAUCCUCUUGUUACUUCCUGUUUGCAUUCUAUAUGUUCAAGAGCUUUAUUAAAGUAAUUAUUUUAUUGAAGAUAUAAUUGUUUUCAAGUCAAAGAAAAAUUGAAUAAUGACGUGGUUUCAACAACUUCUCAAAAGUAAUUGGAAAGUAAGGAACUUUGUGGUAGUAUUCUGAUAUCACAUUGGGCUUUCAAAUCGUUGUCUUGAAUUGACAUAAAUAACAUAAUUUCUUUUCUAGUUGAGCUACUUCAACAUGUUAUUAUGCUUCAUACUCUUUCAAUUAUGUUUUGUUUAGGUUUGGAAACAUUAGUACAUUAGAUAUGUUGCCUCGAGUUACUUACACGACAUAAAAUUCAUCUUUGUUGUUAACUGGCAUCACUACCACAAGAUGAGUUCCCUCAGCAUUCUACAGACAACUAUAAUUUGGGACAAUUCUGGUUUGGCAACAUUAUCGGAGUUGAUAGACAACCUAUCUUCAUUAACAAAAACCUUUAAAUUUAUAUUUAUCCCGAACUAGCAUCACUGUUGGAAGACGUGCAUCCUUAACACCCUAUAACCACUCAUAAUUGGAGACUGUUAUGGUUUGUAAACAUUCAACAAACUUGAUAGGUAACCUUGCACCACUUACAGAGCUUCAAAUUCAUGGCUAUCUUGAAUUGACAUCACUUUCAAACUAGAUGGUUCAUCCAAACCUCAAUUAACACCCACAAUUCAGGACUUCUCCAUUUUGGCAAUGAUAGCAUAUUUGAUAAGCAUCCCUACUUCACUUACAUACACUAAAAUUGAUAGCUACCUUAGAUUCACAUCAUUAUCACAAGAGAUUGGUUCCUUCAUAUCCCUGCAGACACUUGUGAUCUUUUAUCGUCCAUGUAUAUUAGAAAGACUUAAAAGGGAAAUAAGUGAAGAUUGGCCCAAUAAUCUUCAGUCCUAGAUAUUCAUAUUUGGUGAAGAUUGGACUAAUAUAGAGUUAGUUUAGGUUUGAAAUCCCAAUCUUUCUUCUCAUUUUUUAUGGUUUUGUUUUUAUCAAUAUGCUCUGUUUACAUUCUAUAUGGUAAUUUUUGUAUGUAUUAGCAUAUAAAUAAAAAAGGACUUAGAUGAUUAAUUUGAAAAGUUUGCAUCCUCAAUUAAUUAGUAAUUAAAGACCAAACUGAUCAUAUUACUUUAAGUCUUGCAUUGUAAGAGUUUGGGAAAAUGUUAGGGUUGACUGAACUACUAUUUUAUAAUAGAUUUUGCCUUACUCAAGAAUCUUGUGAUUAUCCCUUGGCACAAUCAUUUCUCGUGUCUAAGAAAUUCAUAUCUACUACAUGACCAAAGAAUUUAGUAGCAUUCAAAAUUUCUGUUUUCUUUCAAGUCAGGUGUAUUGCUUGCAAUUCUAACAUGUUUCCUAUUUUGAACGUUGUAUUGUUAUUUUACUAUCAAUGUGUUAAGAGCAUUAUACUCUAUUUUCUAUAAUGUUGUUUACUUGUCAUAUGUAUUAAUUAUUUUAUUGCAAAUGUACUUGUUGCCAAGUUAAAGCAAAAUAGGAAAGUGAGGAUUUUUCAUGGACCAAUGCCUCUCUCAGUUGCUGCCACACUUUACUUCUCUCUAAGUUGUUGAAAAUUUAGAAGUGUGGUAGCAUAAAGUAUUCAACUCAAGUGCUUUAGUGCCUCACUACCCUUGAAGCUUUAGAAGUUGUCAAUACAAUUGGGGUUUCAACAUGUAACCAUUUUGGAAAUUCUAAGAAGUGUAAGUAUUAUGGUUUUGCAACUUUAUUCUACUAUAUAGGCAACUUCAAAUUGCUAAAUGCCCUGAAUUAAAAUCACUACUAGAAGGAACCCAUGAGACUAUAGAAACUCAUAAUCUACUACUCUUGCCACUUAUUAAGAAUGCUAAAAGGAAAAAGUGAAGAUUGGCCUGAGCAUGAUUGAUUAAUAAACCACACAUGGUCUCUUUAAUUCAAGUGUGUCAUAUGUUAUAUGUUUCAUGUCAGUAAUCCUACAUUUCUCUUGUUUCUAUUGGCUCUAUUUUUUUUGAAUUAUUUUACAAUCAAUCUUCUAACAAUGUUCUACUUUUUUUACAAUUUUUUAUUAUUCUAAAAUGAAUUAAGACAUAUAAAGAAAAAAAUCACCUUGUUUGAUUUUCAUAUACUAUAUGCUUAAAUGUACAUGUUUUUUUUUUUCAUAUGUAAUAAGAUACCAACAAAUUGAGUGAGGAGCACAUCUUACUAAGUCGCUUGUCAAUCUAUUCACCUUCCUAAUCUCAAGAUUCUUCAUGUUUGAAUUAAAAUACCAUGAAGUACAAAAACAAAAAAUGAUGAAAAGUAUUUCUCAUCAUCUUUAUUUUUAUUAGAAGGCAAUUUGUAGCAUCCUCUUUCCCAUUCCUAAAAAAUACUACAGCUUUGUAGGUUGAGAAAUUAGACAUGUUUUCUUAAAUGAUCUUCUUGGUCCAUGCAUGCUUAUAUUUGGAAGAUUUUUAAACCAAGUAUUUUAUGACAUAUAUGAUAGCUUUCAAGUUAAUGCAUAAAUGGUGAUGGUUAGGAUGCAAAAUAUAGUCUAUGCUCAACCUAUUUAUUGACAAACUACCAAGGGCUAAUGCUAAGGUAAACACCCAGCACUUGCAUCAUACUCGCUCUUCUCUGCCCUCUUUAUUUGUUUUCCAAAGUUCAUAUAUAAUGUCUUUAUCAUUCAAUUUUUCAUUUUCAACCACUUUUUAAACUUUUGUCUUUUUAUGGUUUAUUACACGACGAUCCAUUUCUAAGAAAUUGUUGUACUCUAUUUAUAAAUCUUAUCUUUUUGUUCUUAUAGACAAUAGAACAACGUGGUAAUUGCAUGACAUACAAUUUGUAAUAGAUGUUCAACUAUAUAUUAGGUAAUCUUUAAUUGCCUUGGAGUUGAAACGUUUGAUGUUGAUAAGGUUUGAUAAUUCUCGCUUUGGUGCUUUGUUGGAUUUCAAUUUAGGUAAUUAAUUGAUCUUGUUAUGAUUCUUUGAUUGUUAUUAUAACUAUUGUGAUAAUCAUUCUUAUUUUAUCGUGGUAAUUGACUUCACUGACUUUUUAACAAUUAUAUCAUGAGUGAAAUGCCCAACCUAUUAUUGUUAGUAUUCCAUUAACAUACCUCUAAUGCCACCACUAAUAAACAUCAUGUAUUAAUAUUUAUAACACGUUUCAUUACUGAAAUAAUUUAAUAUUUUCAAAUUUCUUUUUAGAGUGUGAGAAAUAACCAUUAAUCUUUACAACAGCAUAAGUAUCAUUGAUUUGAUAUUGCUUUCUUGAGUAAUUUGGCAAUUUAAUUAUGAAGUUUAGUUGGACAUUACUUGAGAUUCAUGUCUUAUGUAUAUGAUCUAUUUUCCAAGCUUCAAUUAUAUUUAGUAGACUUGUAAGUGGUGUUUGUCUUUGAGUUUCAACUCUUGAAAACUACUAUUGGAGCCUAAGUUCACUUUCAGUAAGGAAAAAAAAAAAAAAUCAACCUUUUCCUCAAUUGUGUAAUUUUAUUCACUAUUGACAUGCCCUUAAAUGGCAUUGCUAUUAUUUGUAGGGAACAUUGUCAAGUUCUAUAUUUGUCUAGAAAGUUAGAAGAAGUAUUUAAUUUGAUAUGGUUUGGACAUCUUGCUACUAUCUUUUUAAAUUAGUUAUCAAUAAUUUUUCAAAGUUGACCUUUUUGUUUAUCUCAUACUCCUUUUAUAUUAAAAGGUACCGCAUGGGUAUUGUGUAGAGGAAUCAUGCCUUCUUUAAUUGAGGUGAGCCUCUUGCAAAAUAUUUCAAGUUUGCUCUCAUUCCAUUUGUUACUUCAUGUCUAUUUUUUUGUAAUCAAUCAAGCAAGAGUUUCUUACUUGUACAAUGGUGAACUUGCUUGCAUGAAUAAUACUCUUUUUACUAUUUUUUUUCUUUCUUUAUUAUAUUCAUUGAUAUGCUUAGAAGUUAAUAGUGAAUCAGGUUUUUUGUUAAAAGAAAUCAAAUAUUGGUAAUUAUUUAGUAUGAUGUUUGUAAUAAUCAAUUAUUGAUUGUCAAGAUACUUGACUUAAUCAAUUAUUAUAUUGAAAUCAAUUUAGUACUAUGACUAAUACCAAAAGGAUAAUAUUUAGUCUUGUUUGACCAUUAGUCACUAUUCUAGAGACAAAUGCUCACAAGUUUUACAUCUUUGAAGCAUAUGAGAAAAGUUGGCUCAACUGUAUCACCAACUUACAAGCUCCUUAUAGUGUCCAUAUAUAUAACCUUCGUUGUUCAGGUUUAUGAUUCCUAUCUCAUUUUCUUUUUUCAUCUUUUUAUUGUUUAUAAUUUUUUAAUUGAUUUGUUUAUAAAUUUUUAAACUUUAUUAGCAAUACUAUUUUUUUUUUUUUUAUUCUCAUCUGCAAUAGAAUAAUAAGUUGAAUAAGAAGCAUAAACUACUUAAUUGGUAUAACCGUUUACUCAAUUCUCUUCUCAGAUAUUUUUGUUCAAGGUAAUCAAAGUAUCAUUCUUUUUAUUUUUAAAGGUACUUGAACUCAGUGAGGACCAUUCCCAAAACAAGCAAUAACUACAGUUGGAUUACUGAUAUCAUAUCCUUGAUUGACAUCUAUGCCAUUACAUUUGCAUCUAAAGGAUUUAUGAUGAAAAAAAUAUUUUCUUUAUUUCCAUUUUCCUUCCUUCUUUUGAUCAUAAUUUGUGUGCUUAUUGAUAGCAUUCAUACCCUAAUAUAUUUGCUAGCAUAUAUAUGCAUGUCACAAUCUAUUGAAUUUUUUAGCAUAAGGUCUUAGAGUAUUCACAUAUCUCUAGGUUCUAUAUAUUUAUAAUUUUUCAACAUCAAAUGAAGUAUAUGAACCUUAUCCUGAAGGUGAAGUCUCUUUAAAAGGAGUUUCAACAUGUUAGCAAUUACCUAACUUAAUAAUCUAACAAUUUGGCACUAUAUAUAAUUUUGCAACUCUUUCAUAAAGUAAUUGUGUUACCUUUAUUCACAUUUUCUAUCUUUAUUUAAAAAAAAAUGAAUUGGUAAUUGUGUGUCAAAUCUUGCUUACAAUCAUUAAUAGGUACUUAUAUGCUAAAUGGAUAAAGUUAUUUUACAAUUGUUUCAACAUAUUUGACACACAAGUACCUAUUAAUAAGUAUAUAUUUAUAGAUGUAAUCACUACCAAGCCAAUGCGAAAAGCUAUAACAAUGAGGAUUACAACGCUUCAAUUAUGUCUUGGAGAUUCAUAUUGAAAAGUUGUAAAUGGUGGGUGAAGUCUCUUUAAAAGGAGCUUCAACAUGUUAGCAGUUACCAAACUUAAGAAUAUAACAACUUGGCACAAUAUAUCAUUUUGCAACUUUUCAUAAAGUAAUUGUGUAACCUCUAUUCACAUGCUCUAUUUUUUAUUUUUUUUUAAAAAAAUUUGAAUUGGUAAUUGUGUGUUGAAUCAUUCUUACAAUAUUUAAUAGGUACUUAUACACUAAAUUGAUAAAGUUAUUUUACAAUUGUUUCAACAUGUUCUGAAAACAAAAAAGAUUUAUAAGUAUAUUUUUUUCUAGAUGUAAUCACUAGCAAGCCAAUGUGAAAAGCUAUAACAAUGAGGAUUACAAAACUUCAAUUAUGUUUUGGAGAUUCAUAUUGAAAGUUGUAGAUUAUGGAUGUAUAGUACAGGAGUUAGAUUGAGUUUAUCAUUCUAUCUUUGACAUCUUAGUUUUCUAUGUAUUGUCCAUCAUAUAUAUUUGUCAUCUAUUCUUUACAACCAAUUUUUUAAGGACUUCUAUGAUUUGUUUAAAUUUAUAUAUUUGUUUUUAUUUGUACUAGAACUUCACCAAGCUACAAAAGCAUCACAAGUUUUGCAAUUGGAGUUCAUGGAUCAGGUAUUUUAGUAGUUUUUGUACCUGAAAUUUUUUUAUGAUACUAAUGAGGAUGUUUACCUUGAUUAAUUUAACACUUAUAUUGCAAAUAUCUAUAUAGGAGUUCUAUACAUUUAUUUAAACAUUUAUAGACAUAUUUAUCCUCUUUCUAGCACAUUCUAAUGAUAUUUUUAACAUUGAUAUAAAUUGUUUGCUUGAAGGUUUCAACUAUUGAAAAAUUAUUAUUCAAGCCAAAUGUUAAUCUUUUUCUAUAGUGGAUUUCAAAUAAUAAAUUCUUAUUUGAUUAUUUGUAGGGAAAAUAAACAACUUCUAUGUUUGAUAAGAAAGAAGAUAGAGUAGAUCAAUUUCACAAUAUACGAAUGCUACGCUUUCUAUACUUUUAAAGAUGCUUACAAUUGGCUUUCUAUACUUAACAAGUACAUCUUAGCUAAAAGUGAAAAAAUGUUUCUCUUUGCACAUGCCUUCACUACUAUUUUAAUUGCUAUCUUAAUAUGUUAUGGAAAAACCACGACAAAUAACAAUAAUAAGGAGAAGAAAUAAAAGAACAAAAAUAUAAAACUUAUAAAGUAGGACGAUCUAUGUGGUUUGGCCUAAACCUACAUUUAUAUGUGAAAAUGAAGAAGAACUUCCACUAUUAUUAAAGGAGAUUAAAUUCCUAAAGCUUUCAAAUCUCAUGAUUACACUAAAAAUGGACUUUUUUUUUUCAAUCAAAAUCUCUUCCUUUAUUUUCUUGAUUAUAUAAGAAUAUUCCAUAGAGAAUUAAUUGUGUAAUUAUCAAAGAUAACUAUUCCUAAAAGAAAAAUCUUAUAAUAUGAUAUUUCCUUUAGAAUAAAAGAAAAAUCUCUUAUAUAAAUAUAUCAUAAUAGGAAAAUAUUAAAGACUUAUAAAUUGACUCAAAACAAUUUGAAAUAUUUUUCAACAAUCUCCACAUUGGCUCAAAUUCUCAAUAUUCAAAUAAACUCAAAAGUCUUCUAUGUUACUUUGCUCUUAUACACCCUUGAGGGGACUUCAAGUAAUGUCAAUACCAAUUAAGUCUAAGCAAUGCAUGAACUUAAUCAUAGAAAUAAGUUUAGCCAUCAUAUCUAUAACUUUAUCAACUAUAAUAAAGUGCUUUCUAACAUCAAUAUGUUUGGUGCUCUCAUGUAAUAUAUGAUUUUUAGUCAAAAGUAUGAGACUUGGCUACCAUGAUAACAAUAAUCAAUGAUUGGAAUCAAAUAAGUACAUUUUGUGUGCCUAAACUUAGGCAUUCAUAUUUAAUAUCCAAUUCUAGUUUCAUCCCUUUACUCAUUUUAUUCCUAAGUCCUUAAUUUUGGGUUUAAUGUAUUUUUUAAAUAUUUUCCUUCUUUUUUGGUAUAUUUAUAUCACAUUUUUGCUAGCCAUUAUAUUUUUCAUGUAUUGGUUGCUAAUUUUACACUCCAUAGUUGUCACAUCAUCCAACUAAUGGUUGUUACAUUAUCCAACUAUGGGCUACCACAUGCUCCAGCUACCUUAGCCUCCUUGCCAAGUAUUUUCCAUGCCAAAAAAAGAUUGACAACUAUUUCAAUUGGUUGGUAAAGUUGAGAAAAGCUUCCACCAACCUCGCCAUUAAGUUGUGCUCCUUGCUCCAAUUUCUAAUUUUGCUUCCUACCCUCUUGUGGAGUUAGUGUGGAAAUGACUUUAUACAAGGGAGAUGAAGGUUGGUUUUGUAAGGUAGUUUAUUUGUAAACUUGUAUUUCCUUUAUUCAGACGAUAGUUCUCAUUUCUUAGCCUUGAUUUUCAAUUUUGAUCCUCUUGUCUUGCCACUAUGAGUGGCCAACAUCCAAACCAAGGAAUAAUUUUUAAUAAAAUAUUAAUAUUAAUAUUCAAAUAAAAUCAUAUAUUUAUAUUCCUUAGCACAUUUAUAGGAAGAGAAAUAUUUGGGCACUAGGCCCAAUUCACUUUUUAUCAUAAAAAUAUGAAUAUUAAUAUCCUUAUCCUCAUAAAAGCAUAAUUAGCUUAUUUUCUAAAAAAUUGAUAAUAAUAAUAAUAAUAAUAAUAAUAAUAAUUACUAGUACGAUUUUAUUUUAAAUGGAUUUAAAAAUAAAUAAAGUUUAAUUUUUAAGGUAUACGUGCAUAAGUUUUUCAUUACAUAUACACAUUUAAUACUUAAUUAGUAAUAAUGUAUUCUAAAAUUUUUUUAUCUAGCCUAUAACUAAUUAAUCACUUUUUUGGAAUUCUAAAUUGUUCUUAAAAAUUAAAAUAUUCAUUAAAGAAUUGAAAGUGUUUAUUAUGUUUAACUUAAUUUAAAUUUAUUUAUCUAGUGAGAAAAUUCAUAAAAUAUAGUUUUAUGUAUAAAGGAAAUAGUAACGACUUUACAUUUAAUGAAUCUUUUAUUUUAUUUUGAUUCAUUUAAUAGUCUAUUAUCUUGUAGUGAUUAUAUAUAUAUAUAUAUAUAUUUAAAAUUUAUUAAACUCAUUAAUAAAUUCAAUACAAAGUUUUACUUAAUUUGAAACUCAUCUCUCUAGUGAAAAAAUUGAAAAAAUAUUAUUUUGUGAAAAAAAAUACAAUAAAAUCAUUUUAAACUAAUUUUUAUCCAUAGAUUUUUGUAUUUAUUAGUUUAUUAUUUAAUUUUUAAAUUAAUUUAAAAAAUUAUUAGACUUAUUAAUGAAUCCAAUACAUUAUUUUUUUUGUUUAAUUUAUUUAUCACACUAUCAAACAAACUUUUAUUAUUUAGUAAAAGACCUCUUAAAAGAUGUUUUUUUUUCUAAAUAAAAAUAAAAAUAAUAUUCUAAACGAUGUUUGAUUUGAGAGUUUUUUAAAAAUAAAAAUAAAAAUUAUUUUAAAUUAUGUGUACAUAAUUGUUGCAAAUUUAUUUCUUUUUCCAUUAUCAUUUUCAUUCUUACCUAACAUUGAAAUGGAAACAAAUAAUCAAUCAAACCUUACAUUUAUUCUUGAUGCCCUCUGUGAAAAAAAAAAGUGCAAAACAUUUAUUUUUUCUAAUCAUCAACCAUCCAUACAUAGAAAAACUACGUGUGAUCUUAAGCCAAAAAAGAUAUUGCAUCUAAUCAAAUUCAAUAGACAUGAUGAUAUCUAUACUAUUUUUUUUUUAAUUAUAUUCAUAUUUAUGUCAGAAAAUAAUUUUUUUAUUUUUAGAACAUUAAACUUUUUAAAAGUCCUUUCUAGGAUAUUUUCUAGCUUUUUCCUUUUGCUAAUUUUUGCUAUUCAAACAAAUCUUAAGAAAUGAAUCAAACCUGGACACAAUUGAAGAGUUUGGCAUCCUUGUUUUUAUAUUCCAAAGCAUAUAUAGAGAUUGGGGUAAAACAACUUGUACCUAAGAAAAAAAAAGGAAAAAAAACCACAACAAAAAAUUAACCAAAAAUCAGAAAAUUAACUAGAAUAAAAAAUCAAGAAAAUAUUUUUCUGGGUUAAUAAUUAAUUAUAAUGAAAUCAAAAUCAAAAGAAAAAAUACAUACUUCCUCCUGGCUUUGCUUACACUGAAAGCCAUGAAAGAAUUGGGAAAGUAGUAAAGAAUAAGAACAAGAACCACAUCCAUAUUCUGGGGAAAGCAAAUCCUCUGCUUUGCUGCCUUCUUCAGAUUGAAGGCAACUAUUAAACGGGUUGAGGGGUUAUGAGUUUGACUUGGUUGAGUUUGAAGCUACAAAAGUAAGAAGAAUGGUAGUAAUUUUGGAAGCAUUUCUAACUCUUCUAUAACUUGAAAGAUAAAAAAUUUUAAGUGUUAAAAAUGUUAAAAGAGCUUUUUAGAAUCACCCCCAAAUGUACUCUAAAUUAUUUAUGACUUGAUGUCACCUUCACACUCAUUUUCCAGUGUCAUUUAAUUUUGUUGUUCCCAUAUUGAAGAUUUAGGGUAAUGUAAUGUUCAAGCCUUCACAUUUUGCCUUCACAUUUUGCCUUCACUAACCUUUGAAUUUUAAUUAAAUUCUUUGAAGGAUAUUUGACCACUUCAUUGUCCAAAAAUGCUUAUAUUGCCAUUUUUUUUGUCUUUUUCUACAAUUCCAAUUUUACUAUUUUUCUUUUAUUUAUUCCUAUUAUUAUUUAGGCUAUUAUUUAUAAUAUUCUAAAUAUUAUAUUUAUAAUUGUUAAUAGUAUAAUUACUAUUUUUCAUUUAUUUGUCAUUUAUAUUGCUUAUCUUAUCUUUAUUCAUGUAUAAGACUCAAAAACUGCAAAAAGCAUUAAUAAGUAACAACUAAACUUCAAAGUGAUAAUAAAAUUCAACUACAUUGAUAUUACAAUAAUACAAAUGAAAUAUAUAGCAACCAGCCCUUAAAGGGGCUUUUAAGAGAUAAUGAGUCUACUUGAGAUUGAAAUUUAAAGUAGAAUCACCAUCUCUAUAGAUAAAUAUAAAGCCUAAAAAGAAUAGAACAUCACUAAAUAAUAUUAAUAAAGCAACAACUAGAUCAAUGGAUAGUGAAAAUAAAGGUUUACAAAAUGAGUCACAUAAGUAAGAACAACUAAAUUAAGAAAUGAAUUACAUGUCUGACAGAUCUAAUGAGGGAAAACAUUGGAUCUAGGUACCCAUGAUUGGCUCCUUGAAGUUGACCUACCUCCUCAAGAGGUACAUAGGAGUCCUUACUUGAAAAAUAUUAAAAUCUAUAGGGUGAACAUAAGAUCUAAUAAAUAGGCACGAUAUGCAAAUGUUAGGAUGGUUAGUCCAAGGUAAAAAAAUAGUUCUAAAACAUAUCACGUAAUAAUUUUGGUGUAUUAUGAGAGGAAAAUUGAUUUGUGAGAACUAUACUUUAUGAAUAGAAAUGUGAGGAAGAGUGAAAAACACUUAGUAGAGUAAGAGGGCUAACAGUUCAGGGUAGUCAUACAAGUAGUCAUACAAAGUGUGGGGAAAUAGAUGUAUCUAUUUUUGUCCCUUACAAUAUUUUUUAUUGUAUAGUGAAAUAUUAUCUUUCAAAUAUGGAAAUAAGCAUGGUUAGGUGUACCAUGUUAAAAUCUUAAGUAUUUGUUUUAUUUUGUGUUCUUCCAUUAAUAUAUUUCAAUAUUAGAGCUUCCAUUGACUCAACAAUUUAUUAUACUAUGAAUCGUCAUAAGUGAAUAUAUUUUUAUAUUAGAAUAAACCAUUUUCUUAAUUAUAAGUAUAUUUGAAUAUUUUACUAAACUAUUUUAAAAUAAAAAUAUAGUAAAAAAAAUUUAAUAUAUAUAAUAAUAACAUGAUAAAUAACAUAUCCCAAACCAAAUGCAACAUAAAUUUCUAAAUUGUCUCUUCUUCUUAGUUCUCUAUAAUAAUAUUGUCAUACCCAUUGUUUAAGCUAUAAAUUAACAUUUUAUGUUCUUUGAAACAUAUGUAUUACCAACUCAAUAUAAAUAGCUACGAAGACAUAUUUCUCAUUUUCCCAAUCAAAAAGCAUUGUGAGUUGAAACCUUUUUGUUUAGAAAGUUAACUUGCAAUGUUAAUAUUCUUUUUUUAUAUUAGCCCCCUAGGAAUGCCAUUGCCUUUCACCACACUUUUAGUUUUUUUUUGUUUUUUCAAUAUUCUUUUUUACUUCUACACUAGAAUUUAUGUAACUUCUUGUUUUUUAUUAUUAUUAUUAUUUUGCAAUAUUUUCUCUUAAGUCUACCUUACACUUCUUAUUACCUCUCAUAUAUAUAUAUAUUUGUCUUUUUCAAGUACUUGGUUGCUUCUCUAUUACAAUUCAUUAACUUCCUAUCCUUUUAUUUAUUUUUAUUUUUUGCAAAAUUCUUUCUUAAAAUACAUAAAUCCAUAGUUUUUAUUUUAAAAGUAUCAAGUAAAGAACAUAUACCUACUCAAACACCAUUGUAUAAUACCCCUAAAAUUUCCAAAAAUCCUUAAAAUUUCAUAAAUUCUCUGCAAACUUAUCCCUAAUUAGAUGCUAUUACAUUAAAUAUAUCUAAUUCACUCUAAACACAUGAUUGAUAAUAAUACAAAAAACUAAAACAAUAUUAAUAUGCAAUUUAUUAUUUUUCAACACACUGUAAUAGUUCCCAAAUAUUUUCAAACAUCAACUAACAAACCUAAAUUUAUUCACUCAAAAUACAUAAUUGAUAACAAUGGAGAACUAAAAAAAAAAUUAUAAAUAUAACAAUUUUAUACUUUGAAUACAAUUCAAUAAAUCCUAAAUUUUUAAAAACAUUUAACUAAUAAACUUAACCAUACUCAAAUAUUAUUGUAUAACAUCUAUAAAAAUUUCAAUAAUUUAUCAAAUGUGAAGACUACACUCACCGGUUUAGUAGAAUCACUUGCCUCUUCUAUUGGUAAUUGGGAUUUUUGUUCAGUAGCUUCGCUUUCCUUUGCUUCACUUUCUUUUGCUUCACUUUUUUCUUCUGUUCGCAAUUGGCAUUUUUGUUUUUUCGUCACUUUUUUUAAUCUUUUUAUAAAAUCACUCUUCAAUGAACUCAUUGUUUCCUUCGUGCUUGAAGAUACAAUAUGAGAUAACUUGAAAAAAACAGAAUAACAAUUUUUCUAAGGAUUCAGAAUGAAACAAAGGAUGAAAUGAUAGACGAGAAAUUUUCUAGGGUUCUUGAAGGAAAGAUGAGAUUUUCAUUUUGUGCAUUAAAGGAAGAUAAUGAAAUAGAAGAAGACGAUGAAAGAUGAAGACUCGUUCUAUAAAUGAAGCGAAAGAGGAUUAGAGUUUUCCUUUUUGUGCACCAAAGGAAGAUAAUGAAGUAGAAGAAAAUGAUGAGAAAUUUUUUUUGGAAAAUAUGAGGAGUCAUUCUGUAAAUGAAGCCGAAGAUGAGAAGGUGUAAGUGUUGGAGAGAAAAAAGAAGAAGGGCAUUUUUGUCUCAAUCAACAAUUUUGUUUUAUUUUUUAACCGGUGGGUUAUAUUUACAAAUAUGAGGGUUAUUUUGACCCCUUUAACCAAAUAGCCUUAUUUUUUUAUCGAGUUACAACUUUAAAUUAGGUGUAAAAAGAAAUUUUGAUAUGGUAGAUAUUGUACAGUUAUAUAUUGAAAUUCCAUGGUUCAUUAGAUAAACCAUCCUUGAAUUUCUUCGGUUUCAAUCAAGAUGAUAGAUCAUCCUUCCACAGAGUGUGACCUGAUAUGACAUUGAUUUUCUAGGGCUUCAAACACGAAGGGUGUCAAUGACUAAGAACUCCAUUUGAUUACCGAGAAAAUGAGGAAAAAACCCCUCAAAUAAAAUAUAAAUACAAUUCAGAAUUUCAAUUUUACUUUGUUAGGGACCCCAAAAAUGGGAAUAUUCACUUAACUAGCCUAAUCCAACCACCUACCUUAGUUCAAUUCAGUCCCCACUUUCUAGAGACCAAAACAAUAUAAACAUUCAUGUGUUUGGCUGCUCAGAAAGCAUAGGAUAAGCAAAGAAAAGGACGGUGCCUCCUCGAUCAAAUAGUCUUUUUUUUUUUUUCUUUUCUUGCAUUUUCUUUUUUCAGCAACCAAAUAGAACUUUUUAAUUGAGCAUUGUUGUAUACAAUUUAGAUUUCUUUCCCUCGGUUUCUCCGCAACCAAAUAGAAUUUUUCUCAAUUGAGCGAGGGUCUAGUAUAUCCUUUGUUUUCCUGUAACCAAACAGAACUUCCCUUGUUAUUUUUUUUAUCUUUUCUUUGAAUUUCUCAGAAACCCAACGGAGUUUACUUCUGGUGCAACCGUGCAAGAAAAUGGUUUUACCUGAUCGCAAUUCACUGGACUAGCCGAAGCAACAGAGGCUUAAGAAAAAAAGACUGAGCUUUGUUUGUUAGACCCCCUCUGUGAGUACGCAAAGUAAGAAGAAUUGAAGCUGAAAUUAGGCGGCUUCCAAACACGUCCUAGGAGUUGGUUUUAAAACCCAUUUUUCCCCUUUUUGGUUGCAAUCGGUCUGCAAAGAUGCCAUUAAAAGGUAACUACAGUUGGUUGCAUGAACAAGAAAAUGAAAAAAAAAAGUUAAAAUUAAUUAAAAUUCUAUGUAUUUUAAAAUUAUUUAAUAUUUACAUUGAAGAGUAAAAAUAAUUGCAAUAUAUUUAAAUAAACACAUAAAAAUAAUAAUUUAUUAAUUUUAAAUCUAUUUUUAAAAUUUUCAAAUUUUCAUUUAUUUUAUUCCCUCUAAGCUUUCUAACUAAGGUCAUAAUUUGGACAAAUUGUUGGGUUCAUAGUAGAUCUAAAUAAUCUAAUAGGGAUAAAUAAUUGAUUAAUUUAAGUUCAACCCAACCUCUAAGCUUUCUAACUAGGGUCAUAACUUGAACAAAUUGGAUGGUUAACAUACAACUUGGACAAAUUGGUGAGUUCAUAGCUAAUCUGAAAAAUUUAAUAGGGAUUAACAAAUAAUUAAUUUAAGUUUAGCCCAACCUCUAAAUAGAGGUAUUUAAUUCAAGCUCAACCAACUUCAUUUCUUUGAGCUCUGGUUGAUGAGGUUAAACUUGGGUUAACCCCUGAUUGUAUAAUUCAAAAUACAUAUAGAAUGUUUUUCAAUAAAAAAAAAUUAUGUACUUAUAUCAAAUUUUAAAUAGUAAGUAGGACAAAAUUUUAAAAUAACAAAAAAGAAAAAAAAACAAAAAUAAAAACAAAGUUAUGUAUCUUUUUUAAAAAGUGAAAAAAUAUAUUAUAUAAUAUAAUUUGAUUUUUUUUUAAUAAAAAUUUAGAAAGAAUAAAAUUAUUAUAUAAAAUAACAUAUAUUGGAAAUAUUAUAAAAACAUUAAAAGUUUAUUAAGUAGUUAUUCAAAUAAGUGUUUCUAUCCCUAAUUUAAACUUUGGUUUCAAUCUAACUCGAAUUGAAUUUGAGUUGAAAAAGUUUAAUUUGAAUAUUAAAAAUAAUUGUCUAAACACGAUCAAAUAUCGGAUUGGAUUCGACUAAUCUGCCAAAGUUGCACUCCUACCAAGAACCAUACACAAUAAAAAAAAUUUAAGCUAUUUUUUGUUCUAGGAAAGUACUCAAAAAGGAGAAAUAAAGAAAAAAAAAAUGAUUUUAUAUGUAUAAUUAAAAUUAGUUAAAUUUUAUAUAUUUUAAAAUUAUUUAAUUUUUUUAUAUGGAAAAGAAAAAAAAAGAGUGAAAUAAGUUUGAAAAAACAAGUAAAAAUGAUUUGUUAACUUUAAUAUUUUUUUCUUUUCUUUUCUUUAGUUUAUUUUUCUCAAAAUUUUCAAAAAAUAAACAUAGAAUUAAAAAUAAUAAUAAUAAUUAUAGAUUAGGAAAAUCAAUUUUAGAACUUGCUUAUAUGAUUGCAUUAUUUUUUGUAAAUAAUAAUUUUAUUGAAUGUUAAGAGAGUGGUAUUAAAUGCACAUUAUUUAAUAUUUUUAUAUGGAUAUUUUUAUUUCUAAAGAAAGUAAUCUUUACAUGGAUUGGACCACUGUUUAUUUAUCCAUGUGGGCCAGCCUAUUAAAAACCAUCAAACCAACAACCCAAGGGGCGACCCUGAUCAUUCUCGGGGGCCCACAACCUUCAUCUCUAACAAAAGCUCUUACUCACUGAAACAUGGGCAGGAUCACCUUCCACACACAUCUUCAUACCAGUCACCACGCUACCGCAACAAUCCUCCUCCAUGAAAGCCCACCUCCAUCACAGCAAGCAGAAAAUCCAUCACGUCAACCAUCAACCUCCACACAGACCUAACACUGCAUAGCCGUGUUUUGGGAGUGUUAGAACGUGAUUAAAGAUGAUUUAAUUUGAGUGUUCAUGGAGUUUCGCUAUAAGAGGGUGAUAGACCAGAGUAUCAAUGCUCCCUUUGUAACUUUAGGGCCAAAGAGGAGUCAGUUUACCAAAAAUUCUUCAUGAAACCAUCCAUUUAUCUCAGGGAACAUUUAUUAAGUAGAGUCAAAUAGAUUUACAGAUAAGAGACGAUUUAUUCCUUUGAAUGAAAUAACCUUAUUUCAAAUUGCCCUAAUGUGGCCUAAUAAGCAAAAUUACUGGUUAUAUUUUGGACACAUCUCAGUAGAGGUUUGGGGGAGAAAAUAGAAGAAGCAGAGAUGCUUACUUACUUCAGAGGGGCCACUGCUCGCCACCACCACUUCAUGGCUGUGCCCAUUUCACUUGCCCAAGUCACUCUCUUCUCCAAACCCUCCAUUUUACUCCACAGAAAUGCCAUCAUUGGCUUCUCCUUUUCCAUUCCUUUCUCCUCUUCUUCUGCUCACAAGAUUCAGACUCACAAGUGGAGGCAACCGGUGGUCUCGCUUCUGGAGCUUGGUGGAGUCAAGAUUGGCAGAGAUGGUAACAUACCCACAUCCCAAAAUUGCGUUUAAAAAGGAUCUUUAGCUUGAAUUUCGUGUGCCCAAUUUGCGUUUUUGCAGACAUUUGCACUCAAGUCGUGUCGUUUGUUUGCAAUUUCACAAUCUGAUUUCUUUUCUAUUGUGCGUUUUUUUUCUCCUGCUAGGUUCGAAUUCAAGCAUCCAAUUUGCGUUUUUGUGGGUAGUCUUAUGCCCAACUUGUGUAUUCAAUUUGCAAUUGUUGUUAUCAGACUUCCUUCUCUCUUUUGAGACUUACACAGUUAGAGACGUCAUUUCUGUGAAAUUAAGAAUGCAUGUUCCAACUUUCACUUCUUUCUCUCUCUCCCUCUUUUUUUUUUUUUUUUUUUGUGAAAUUGGAAUUCAAGAACUUAUUUUGCGUUUUACAAGCUUAGCGGGUUACGUUUCUGUUCUAUUUGUUGUGCUGUUGGAGGUGUUUGGUGCAUUUAUAUAACUAGGCUUGCAAUUUCGCCCUCUGAUAAAGGUUAAAUUUUCUCCCUUUUUAUUUUUUAUUUUUUUAAUGGUGUAUUUGUUUUGGGUAUUUGGUGAAAUGAGGAUUCUGUACUGGGUUUAUGGCAUUUUUUCAAUUGGUUUGAUAUAUGUGAAUGUGGGUUUUGUAGGGAAGAUAUGCAAAUUUUUUGAAAGAAGCAUGCAAUUACAACUCUGAUUUCCUUUAUAUUUAUAUUUUUUUAUGCUUAUUUGCAUAUUGGUUGAUGUCAAAAUUCAUCUAAUGGGUUGUUUUUUAUUGCUUUGGAUUGGUUUAAUGUAGUUGAAUGGUGGAUUUUGUUUCUAAAACUUAGGGUCAAUUUCAAUUUUUUUUUCUUUUUUUCAAUUUGAAGACCUGGGAGUCUAUGUGAUUGGAAUUGAUGUACUCGAGUUUUUGGAUUUUGCUGAUUGCUUGAUAAACUUGGGAUGCAGAGCCUUAAAAAAUAAACUAUAUUCACUAAACUAUAUCUCUGAUUAUACUUCGUCAAAGCGUGAAAUGCAACUUGGAGUCUUUGUAUUUUUAAAAUUUUUUGGGUUAUUCUAUUCUGAAUAUUUGGUAAAAUUAGAACUCAUGUACUGAACCUUUUUCAAGUUCUUUUGGUUGGCUUGAUAUAUUUGGUUGUGGGGUUUGUAGAUGUGGUGAGGGAUGAUCCUACAAACAAUGUCCCGGAUGCAAUUUUUUUGAAACUUGGAAUGCAGCUUCACAGGAGGGAUCAACACCCAAUUGGAAUUCUGAAGAAUGCAAUAUAUGAUUAUUUCAAUGCCAAUUACUCUAACAAAUUUGAUAAGUUGGAUGACCUUUGCCCAAUAGUCUCCACAAAAGAGGUUUGACAUUAAGAUAUAAAAUAAAAAUUGUAUGCAUGUUUUUUUUUUUUCACUGUUUUGAGCUAUACAUUGCACUAUUUGGAACUUGUAUUAUCUUGCUAUGACUGGUGCCUGACAUUUUGUUGCGGUUUUUAUUUAUUUUGCUGCCCAUUUCCUGUUGGUUUUUGUCCUGUCCUAGGUCUUUUAACAUUUAAGAAUCCAUGAAAGUGGUAUUUGCAUAUGUUGCCAAUUAUUCCAUUGACGAUGUUCUAAGUAGGGAACCUAGUAUCCAAACUUCCAUCCAAACUUCCAUAUAAAAAAAGUCCAGAACAGGCAUUCGGUUUACCAGGUUUAUCAGUUCUCUCCAGUGUUUAUUCAACUCUUAAAUGCAGUAUUCUGGACAUACUCCAAAUUUGAAAUUCCUUUGGUAAAAUAAAGGCAUGGUACUUAUAGUGGUCUAUUAAGGAAAAGGUUUGUUUGACCUAGCUUUUGUACAAAAAAUUCAAGGAUAGUCUUGCAGAUAUGUAUUGUAUAGGUGUAUAUUUCUCUAUCAUGACACAAGUGAGAAAAAAUUCACGAAAGUUGUUUUGUUUUAAUAAAAAAUUGAAAGUUAAUUUAUGUUUUGAGAGGGACAUUAGACAACCUAGGAUUCAAAGGGACAUGUUGUCUCUUAGGAAAAUAUAAUUCAUAGCAUUCUCAAUCACUUACAGGUUAUUUUAAUCCUUUUAAAUUGAUUUAUUUAAUUUUUUUCUUUAUAGUAGGCAAGCAAAAAAUAUAUUUACAACACCUACUAUUAUCAUUAUUUUGGUAAUUAGCAUUGAUGGAGAUUGUAAAAAUUCUCUAAUAGUAUUGCAGGAGAAAAAUAAUAUUUAUGAAUUUUUGUUAAACGCAAUUGUCAUAAUGAUAAUAGUUAAUUAGAAUAAUAUAAGUUUGUAAUUGGAAAAAUUUUAAAAAAUAAUAGCUUUUGGAAAUAGUUUGAAUAGGAGUACAAAAUUCUUGGAUUUCAUGGAGAGCUUAGGUGGGAUCUAAAGCAUGGGGCUGUUUGCUAUCUAUUUUAGUAUUUGCUGCUCUUCUCUCUUAUAGGUGUUCAGUUGCAGCUUGUAUUCUCUGAGCGUACUUGGGUUGUGCCCCCUUUUGUGUUCUUCAAUAUAAUCUUCAGGCUCAUGACUAGUGCAAUUUCUACUAAUUGAUCACUUUUCACUUCAAAUAAUAUUCAGUAAUCCAAAUAGCAUUUAUCAAAUUAUUUUUAACUGCCAUUAGAUUUAUAAAGAACCCAAAAUGUGAAAAUUUCUUCUUAGGCAUGAGAAAUUGUCAUUGUUAUAAACCCCAUGUUUGUCUUGUACUUACAAGCAUAAUUAUAAAGCAUGAUCUGCAUGUCUUAUCAUGAAAUAUAACAAUGUCAUAAAAUAGAUGAUUGAUAAAAUAUUAGAAGUCCAUUACAAAUGCUUAAUGGAACUGAAAAUUAUUACAGAGCAAGUGCAUAUUUCAGUCAAACUUUUAUGCAGUAGUGGUAGCUUAUAAACUCACAACUUUGUAAUCAUGUGCUUGAAUCAAGUAAACUUAAUGGAUCUCAGCUACAUCUGCUCUACAUUUUAACCAUUGUUUUAUGUUAUGGGAAUAGUGACUGAAUUUCACAGUCCCAUCAUUAUAAUUUAUGCAUGUAAAUUCAUUUGGGACUUAGUUUUCACAUGUGUUCACAUGUCAUAACUGUAAUUUCCCUAAUUUUAUGAGUAAGAAAAACUCUUUAAUUUUCCCUAUUUUGACUGAAACUUUAGGAACUUGGACUUUAUUUGGUGCAAAUGUAUGUUAUCAACUAUUGCUUUUGACCAGUCAUGAGUAGAUGCUAUUUAUAAAAGGACACAAAGGAGGAUAUAAUCCAAGUGCACUUGUAGUCGACAAGUUACUCUGGGCAUCAAAAUUGAAAGAAACAACAAUGAAGAAAAGCAUCAAGAAAGUGCCCCUACCUCCCAAACUGUCAAUGAACUACUGGAAGGAUCUACUACUAUUCAAGAUAACUUCUUCUAAGCACAACUACAUGUAACAGUACUUAGCCUGCGCUAUGGUGUCAAAAGGUAGGCUCAUUGGAACAUGCCUAUUUUGAUGGAUUUUAGUUUGUGGGGAUAGUUAAAGUGUAAAGUGUAAAGUGUUUGAUAAAAUAAAUUUGCUAGUUUUAAUAAAUUGGAAUUACUACUGAAUAAAAUGUGAAGCUAGGUAUUAGGAGGAGAAAGAAAGGUAAUUAAUUUAUUUGUAUGACACUAUGACUUACACACUGUGAAGCUUACUGGUUGGGAAUUGUUGAACAGGGGAACUUACUUAAUAGGGGAGAAAGAAUCACACAUAUUACUUGAUGAGAAAAUAUAAUUACAUUAGCCAAAGGCCAAAAAUAUAUGAGUGGUUCACUGAUUGCAUAUUAUUGGAAAGAGAGCUGAGCAUCAUAUGAUUCAUAAACUUUUUACAAUUUAAAGGCCUGGGUCCAAUGAGAUAUGUUGCAUCAUAUUACCUAAUGAACCAAUGAAGUUUAUGGAUUUCCAAAACUUCUUGGAGAGGUUCACUAUUUUAUGGUUCUUUUUUUUGAUAAGUAAAAGUAUUGUAUAAAAACCACCAAUGCAGUGGAAAAAUAAAUACAAGAAAGAACACACUCCCCACUCCCUAGCUAAAAGCCAAGGACAGAGGAGCAGCCCAACACACACCCUUAACGGGUUCUCACCCAACCAACAAAAUCAACUAAGGUCGAGGGACCAUCUUUUAUAGACAAUUUCGUCUCCGACCAAAGAAAAUAUACAAACGAAUACUUAAGCCUUUGAAUAGACAACUCUUCUUCCUCAAAGGCAAUUUUGUUCCUUGCCUUCCAAACCAUCCAAAAAAGACACAAAGGACUUGCUCUCCAAACACCCUUCCUCUUUUUUCCCACAAAAGACCCAUUCCACCCCAACAACGUCUCCUUAACAAUUUUGUUCUUUUUUUUUUAGGGUUCUUUAUUCCAAAACUUUUUGCUCCAUACCUCUUUGGAGCUCAAUUCUUUGGCAAAGCAGGAAGAAAACAAAUUAGCAUCAACUUUAGCUUGACUUGAGAUCACAAAUCCGACUAGAGAUUUUGCAGUAGUGUGUUGAGGUCUAAUCCGAAUCCAGGUUGUGAUGUGUGCAUCAAAGAGUCUUUCCAUAAGCCAUGAAGCUUUGAGGUGUUUUGUGAUGGCAUGACUGGAUAAUGAGAUGCAUUUUGGUCUGAAAUUUGGAGUUCGGUUAUGCAUUUCUGUAUCUAUAUCUCCAAAAUUAUUAACUAAUUUUAAUCAUUUUAUCUAUUUUUCAAAAUAAACAUUCAAAAUUGAAAGUUUGUGUCACGAGUCUUCAGGCUUAUCCGGAAUAGAAUGUCCUGCAUUAACUCUUGCUGUUAAUGCAUAUAAUACCAGGCGAGUCAACACAGCCAUUUGCUUGCUUAUGUUGACUUUCAAUGGGUUAAAAUUUAUGGCUUCAAUGGUUAUUACCAUGCUAACACUAAAACUAUUUUUUUGUUUUUGAUAGGUGUUGAAAUAAUGCCAAAGUUAGGACUUUAAUUUAGGAAUAAAAAAGGAGAGAUCAUUUAGGAUAUUUCCUUAUGAUUUAGUUUCCUAAUUUUAGGAGAGAAUUAAGCUAGAUUGAUUUUUUCUUAUUCAGUCAUUUGUGUAUAUAUAUGUGUAUGGUGUGUACCGAUUAAUCAUCAAUAAAGGAGUUCAGAAAUUCUUCAUGGUAUCAGAGCCAGUUUUCUGAAACCCUAAUCCCUUCUGGCCACCUCUUAUUCAGGCCAUCACUCAUUCCGGCCAAAUCUCUCUAGCCAUAUCUCAAUCCGAUCAUCUCUCUCUCUCUCAUUCCGGUCAUCAGUCCCUGUUCUCAGAGCCAAGGGAGAAAACGCUUUCUGGUCAGUCGAAUCGUCGUCAGAAAACACUCACCGCCGGCAACUUUUCCGGCGAACUUUCCGGCGACUGUUUUUUUUUUCUACACCGCAAGGAGCGCCUGGAGGAGAUCUCCAAUUUGUCCCAAAGCACCGGAACCAGAAACCCAUCCACGCGCCACCCACGCGCGUUUUUCCGCCCGGCGACUGCAUCUCACGCGCCGGCGCGUGAGGGCGCGUGAGCCACUUUCCGACGACGCGCUUCCUCCUCCAGGCUCGCCUGACGCCGACCAGCCACCCUUCUUACCUGUUUGUGCAAUCCGAGCCCUGCACGUGCCUCUUUUGGGGUUCUUUUGCUUCCGCGGGCCCUCUGAUCAGAUUUUCCGGCGUCCUCCGGCUAUUUUUUCACAACUCCAGUCCCUGCACGUGCCUUGGGAAGUGUUCUUCUACCUUUCCGGUCCAUGACAAAAUACGGAAUGGCAUCAUCACAAGUAUCCAGCGUCACGUCACCAGAAUCAGGGGGCAGAUCUGAAAUUCCAAACCUUGGUGGCAAUGAUUCCUCUCCUAUUCUCAUCACAGGACACAAAUUAAAUGGCCAUAACUAUUUACAGUGGUCACAAUCUGUGUUGCUGUUCAUUUGCGGUAAAGGAAAGGAUGAGUACCUCACUGGAGAAGCAGUCAUGCCAGAAACUACAGAACCGGGUUUCAGGAAGUGGAAGAUUGAAAACAGCAUGAUCAUGUCAUGGCUUAUCAAUUCCAUGAACAAUGACAUAGGCGAAAAUUUCUUGCUGUUUGGGACUGCAAAGGACAUAUGGGAUGCAGCCAAAGAAACUUACUCAAGUUCUGAAAAUACUUCAGAACUGUUUCAGGUUGAAUCAACUCUACAUGACUUCCGCCAAGGAGAGCAGUCAGUUACUCAGUAUUACAACACACUCACAAGGUAUUGGCAGCAACUUGACUUAUUUGAGACUCACUCAUGGAAAUGUUCGGAUGAUGCAGCAACAUACAGGCAAAUUGUGGAACAAAAGAGACUGUUCAAGUUUUUCCUAGGACUAAACAGGGAAUUGGAUGAUGUUAGAGGCCGAACCAUGGGCAUUAAACCCCUGCCAAGUCUCAGGGAGGCUUUUUCAGAGGUUAGGCGUGAAGAAAGUAGAAAGAAAGUGAUGAUGGGAUCAAAAGAGCAACCUGCCCCGACAUUGGAUGCCUCUGCCCUUGCUGCUCGGUCAUUUAAUAGUAGUGGUGGAGAUCGUCAGAAACGGGAUAGGCCUUGGUGUGAUUAUUGUAAGAAACCAGGCCAUUAUAAGGAGACUUGCUGGAAGCUUCAUGGCAAACCGGCUGAUUGGAAACCAAAGCCACGGUUUGACAGAGAUGGCAGAGCACACGUGGCUGCCAACUCUGAGAGCACAUUUGUUCCCGAGCCGAGUCCAUUCAACAAAGAGCAGAUGGAGAUGCUACAGAAAUUAUUAAGCCAAGUUGGCAGUGGCAGUACUACCGGUGUAGCCUUCACUGCUAAUCGAGGAGGAAUGAGGCCGUGGAUAGUAGACACAGGUGCUUCUGAUCACAUGACAGGAGAUGCUGCCAUUCUUCAAAAUUACAAGCCAAGUAAUGGUCAUUCAUCCGUCCAUAUUGCUGAUGGUUCAAAGUAAAAAAUUGCCGGGACAGGUUCUAUAAAACUUACUAAAGACUUAUAUCUUGACUCUGUCCUCCAUGUUCCAAACUUGGAUUGUAAUCUUUUGUCCAUUAGCAAAUUGGCUCGUGAUCUCCAAUGUGUUACUAAAUUCUAUCCAAACUUGUGUGUUUUUCAGGACUUGAAAUCGGGGAAGAUGAUUGGCAGUGCUGAACUGUGUUCCGGGCUCUACCUCCUUUCAUGUGGCCAAUUCUCAAACCAAGUCUCUCAAGCAAGUUGCGUACAGUCUCAGAGUAUGUCAGAGUCUUUCAAUUCUGUGUCAAAUUCUAAGGUCAAUAAAGAUAGUGAGAUUAUAAUGUUACACUAUCGCCUUGGUCAUCCUAGCUUUGUUUACCUUGCAAAAUUGUUUCCCAAAUUAUUUAUCAAUAAAAAUCCAGCAUCUUAUCACUGUGAAAUUUGUCAGUUUGCAAAGCAUACUCGAACAGUAUAUCCUCAAAUCCCAUACAAACCUUCGACUGUUUUCUCUCUAGUACAUAGUGAUGUGUGGGGUCCCUCCCGGAUAAAAAAUAUUUCUGGCACUCGAUGGUUUGUGACAUUCGUUGAUGAUCAUACUCGGGUAACAUGGGUUUUCCUUAUGAAAGAAAAGUCAGAGGUCGGACACAUUUUUCAAACCUUCAAUCUUAUGGUUCAAAAUCAAUUCAAUUCCAAAAUACAAGUCCUCAAGUCAGAUAAUGCAAAGGAAUACUUUACUAGUAGUCUCAGUACUUAUCUUCAAAAUCAUGGCAUUAUCCACAUAAGUUUUUGCGUUGACACCCCACAACAAAAUGGGGUGGCUGAACGCAAGAAUAGACAUCUCUUGGAGGUUGCCCGGUGCCUUAUGUUUUCCUCUAAUGUUCCAAACUAUUUCUGGGGGGAAGCUAUUCUCACAGCUACCUAUUUGAUUAACCGUAUGCCAUCCAGAGUGCUUACCUUUCAAUCCCCACGUCAACUUUUCUUAAAACAGUUUCCUCACACCCAUGCCGCCUCUUCUGAUUUACCACUCAAAGUAUUUGGUUGCACGACAUUCGUUCAUGUGUAUCCUCAAAAUCGUAGCAAAUUUGCUCAUCGAGCAAAUAAGUGCAUUUUUCUAGGGUAUUCUCCAACCCAAAAAGGGUACAAAUGCUAUUCUCCAACCAACAAAAGAUUUUACACCACCAUGGACGUCUCUUUCUUUGAACAUGUCUUCUUCUAUCCCAAAUCUCAUGUUCAGGGGGAGAGCAUGAAUGAACAUCAAGUUUGGGAGUCUUUUCUUGAGGGUGUACCUUCUUUUCAUUCAGAGUCACCAAAUCCUUCCCAAUUCGUGCCCACUGAGUUGUCCACACCCAUGCCGCCAUCAGUUCAGCCAGCCCAGCACACAAAUGUUCCUUCUCCCGUGACCAUCCAGUCUCCCAUGCCUAUUCAACCUAUAGCCCCACAACUUGCUAAUGAGAACUUACAAGUUUACAUCAGGAGGAGGAAAAGACAGGAAUUAGAGCACGGAUCACAGUCAACAUGUGGCCAAUAUAUUGACUCCAAUUCAAGUCUUCCUGAAGAGAACAUAGGUGAGGAUAGGGCUGGAGAGGUGUUAAUUCCCAGCAUUGAUGAUUCUACUUUGCCAAUUGCAUUGAGGAAGGGUGUUAGGAGAUGUACAGAUCAUCCAAUUGGGAAUUAUGUUACGUAUGAAGGGUUAUCACCAUCUUACAGAGCAUUUGCCACUUCUCUUGAUGAUACUCAGGUUCCCAACACAAUACAAGAGGCAUUAAAAAUUUCAGAAUGGAAGAAGGCAGUACAAGAUGAGAUUGAUGCACUUGAGAAGAAUGGGACGUGGACUAUCACAGAUUUGCCGGUUGGGAAGAGGCCUGUGGGGUGCAAGUGGAUUUUCACCAUAAAAUACAAAGCAGAUGGAUCAGUCGAAAGAUUCAAGGCUCGUUUGGUAGCUAGAGGGUUUACACAAUCCUAUGGGAUAGACUAUCAGGAGACUUUUGCUCCUGUUGCAAAACUGAACACUAUCAGGAUCCUUCUCUCAUUGGCUGUCAAUCAAGAUUGGUGCUUGCAACAACUGGACAUAAAAAAUGCGUUUCUAAAUGGGGACCUAGAAGAGGAAGUCUACAUGGAAAUACCACCUGGUUUCGAAGAAAGUAUGGCAAAGAAUCAGGUUUGCAAACUCCAAAAAUCCUUGUACGGCCUUAAACAAUCUCCUCGAGCCUGGUUUGAUAGAUUCACAAAAGCAGUCCUGAAGUUGGGCUACAAACAAGGUCAGGCUGAUCAUACUCUAUUUGUCAAGAAGUGUCAUGCCGGGAAAUUGGCCAUAUUGAUAGUCUAUGUCGAUGAUAUUAUUCUAUCUGGGAAUGAUAUGGGGGAGUUACAGAAUUUGAAGAAGUAUUUGUCAGAAGAGUUUGAAGUUAAAGACCUUGGAAAUUUGAAAUAUUUCCUUGGUAUGGAAGUGGCGAGAUCAAGGAAGGGAAUCGUAGUCUCUCAAAGAAAAUACAUACUCGAUCUUCUUAAGGAGACCGGUAUGCUUGGAUGCAAACCAAUUGAUACUCCUAUGGAUAGUCAGAAGAAACUUGGUAUCGAGAAAGAAAGUACACCGGUAGACAGGGGGAGAUAUCAGCGGCUUGUCGGGCGCUUGAUUUAUCUCUCACACACUCGGCCAGAUAUUGGCUUUGCAGUGAGUGCUGUAAGUCAAUUCAUGCACAGCCCCACUGAGGAACACAUGGAAGCAGUCUACAGAAUUCUUAGAUAUUUAAAAAUGACACCAGGGAAAGGCCUAUUCUUCAGAAAGACAGAGAACCGUGACACUGAAGUAUACUCAGAUGCGGAUUGGGCAGGAAACAUCACUGACAGGCGGUCCACUUCCGGAUAUUGUUCUUUUGUCUGGGGAAAUCUUGUUACCUGGAGGAGUAAGAAGCAAUCAGUUGUAGCCAGAAGUAGUGCAGAAGCUGAGUACAGAGCUCUUGCACAGGGAAUCUGUGAAGGGAUUUGGAUAAAAAGGGUUCUUAGUGAACUGGGACAAACGAGUUCAUCUCCAAUUCUGAUGAUGUGUGAUAAUCAGGCAGCUAUAAGCAUAGCAAAGAACCCCGUGCAUCAUGACAGGACCAAGCAUGUUGAGAUUGACAGACACUUUAUCACAGAGAAGGUGACUAGUGAGACGGUCAAAUUGAACUAUGUUCCUACCAAGCACCAAACCGCAGACAUCCUCACCAAAGCUUUACCUAGGCCUAACUUCGAAGACUUAACUUGCAAGCUGGGAUUAUAUGAUAUAUAUUCUCCAGCUUGAGGGGGAGUGUUGAAAUAAUGCCAAAGUUAGGACUUUAAUUUAGGAAUAAAAAAGGAGAGAUCAUUUAGGAUAUUUCCUUAUGAUUUAGUUUCCUAAUUUUAGGAGAGAAUUAAGCUAGAUUGGUUUUUUCUUAUUCAGUCAUUUGUGUAUAUAUAUGUGUAUGGUGUGUACCGAUUAAUCAUCAAUAAAGGAGUUCAGAAAUUCUUCAUGAUAGGUAAAUAAGAGCUUGUAUUAGAAGGGCCCAAGAAACUAGGCAAAGAAGACAAAAAACUUUUCCCCUAACUAGACAUAUGGCCACUCUAUAAAAUCAAUCAUAGACAAAGUAUGAUCCUCCAUAAACACUCUAACCCAAUUUACAAACGUAUACAAAAAGAAAUGUUUUAAAGGUUGGUCGGACUGUUCGAUAUCAUUAAAUGCUCUUUCGUUUCUUUCCUUCCAUAAAGUCUACAUUAAGCAUAAAGGGGCAACCCUCCAAGACUUCUCCCUUCUCUUACCCACAAAGGCACCAUGCCAACCAAGCAAAUCCCUUUUAAUCGAAGAAUGCAAAACCCACUGCACACCAAAAAGGGAGAAAAUCAAACUCCAAAGCAUCGUAGCCUUUCUGCAAAACAAGAUUAAAUGGUCACUGGUUUCCUCUUUCUCUUUACACAAGCAUAUUCAAACUAAUAACUAAUAGUUAUUGGAUUUAAAGCUUGUUUGUUAACGUUCUUCAUGGUUGUGCUUCUAUUUUUAAUCAAUUCUCUUGGCCAUCACCGUUUCCCCCUUAUUAAGAUUGGGUAUUUAAGUUUCAACGAAACAGCCUACUAAAUCCUCAAGAUAGAUCCUAUUUAUAAGGCAUGGGAGUUUUGGUCAAUGUCUGCUUCCAAAAUUCUUAUCCAUAUUUCUAUGAAUUCUUAUGCCAGAAAGUCUACUUCUUGCAGAAUUUUGAUGAUGUCUUGGUUCCUCCUGAUCACAUCAGUAGGAGUUACAAUGAUACAUACUACAUUGACUCUCAAACUGUCUUGAGGUGCCACACUAGGGCUCAUCAAGCAGAGCUGUUGAGGAGGGGACACACUCAUUUCCUUGUGACUGGAGAUGUUUAUCAUAGAGAUUUCAUUGAUUCAACUCACUACCUGUUUUUCAUCAGGUUUCUUAUUUCUGAUUUUAUCAAUGAUUGUUUUCUAUUAACAAGUUUCUUAUGUUUUCUUCAGUUCAAUAAUUUUGCUUCCUGAUCAUGCAGAUGGAAGGUGUUCGUGUCUUCUUUCCAGGUGAUUGGGAGACAUCUGGAAUGGAUGGCACAUCUUAUGUGGUUGAGGAUUUAAAGAAAUGUCUUGACGGUUUGGCGCAGCACUUGUUUGGUAAACUUAGAUCAGGAGAUUGUCUUAAUCAGAUACAAACUUAAUACUAUCAGUUGAUGCUGCAGUGAGAAAUAUGGGUUAAGGAAUUAUUUACCAGGUCUCAUAAUUCAAAAUCUGGGAAAUACAUCAAGUAAAAGGGGAGGAAAAUAAUGAAAUAAUAAAAUAAUAAAUUUAAGUGGGGGAAAGCAAUUCAUGUUAUGCAAAAGCAGUACAGGUUGGUCAUUUAGAAGUCAAAUCAAGAUAGUCCAGAAUAAUAUAGGGAAUUAUUUGUGAUUCUCAAGGUACUUGUUAAGAAUCAUUGACAAAUUACCUAAAGAAACAUUUAAGAGUGCUAUUAUUCUUGAAAUUUCUGAAAUCUAUCAGAAAGGUAGUUUUCAUCUUGGGGUUUACCAUAUACUGUAUAGAAUCUGCGUGGGCUAAAUCUGUUGAAAUUUGCAGGUAAUGUAGAAAUGCACUGGAUUGAUACAUAUUUCCCUUUCACCAACCCAUCAUUUGAACUUGAGAUAUAUUGUCAGGUAUGCUUUUGAUCUAGGUGGUGGUUACAUUUUAGCACUAUAUACUUUGAAUUUCUUUAAAACUUUGUUUUUGAACUAAUUUUCACAGAAACAGGCUCCAUUUCAUUUUUCUGUUUUCACCUUUUGCAAGAAAGGGUAAAAAUCAUUUCAAAAAUGUGAACUUCAGUUUAUUCCAUUGCUGGCAUGUGUGGCUUUCAUCUGUUAUUGAAGACACUAAGAUUCAUAGACUGAUAAUAUUCCAAUGCUUAUAAUAACAGUAAUGUUGGUGAUAAAAUAAUAUAAAAGUAGAAACAAAAUUAGUUGUCUCCCUUUUUUUUCGUUUAGUUUCUUUGUUCUUCUUACCCCUCUGAUGUGGGGAGGGGGUGUGGGGCUCUUUGUUGUCGCCAAAUGUGAAAAAGAAGAGGCAUUAUGUCCUUUUAUUUUGGAUUUACAGGACCUAUUAUGAAGGCAUUUAUGACUUCAAGACUUUUUUGUAUUUUAUUUUAUGGAAGCAUUUUUUUAGCGUCACUAGUGAAGGAGAAAUUCAUAAACAUAUAUACACACAUGCUAGUGGGCAUACACAAACACUGAUGUUCCACACAGUAAUUAAAAAAUUCUUGCUUUGAGGAGUAUCUUUUUCCUGAACUCAUGUCCAUGUCAAAUGGCAACAUGCCAAUGACUAUUUGCCAGCAGAUGGAAUGCUGGCAACACUUUUAUGGAUUGAAUGUUUUCCUUUCCCCUUUCUUUGUAGUGAAUGAUGUGUACUCUUUAGUUGCUCUUACAUAUUUGAUGCAUUGUGCUUCAUGCCCUAAUUGAUGCAGAACAGAAAAGUACCAGAAAAAAUGAUGGGAGUCUAGGAAUUACUUCCAAAAACCUUAGGCUUCGCAUAUAGGUUUAGUUUGCAUCACACAAAAAAGAAACAUUGCAAGCUGGAAGGUUUUGUGUUUUCAUUCAUUGAUCCUUUUAGAAGAUAGAGUGAUCAGCUUUGUAAACUACAACCCUAAGACCCCUAAUACUCUUUGGAACCAAUCACAGUAAUAAUAAAGCUGAGAAAUCAGAAACUUGAACUGAUAAAUAAAAAUUAAAAGGCACUUGCAAAUAUAAAGCAUUAAUGACUUUGGAAAUAAGAACACUCCAAUACCCCCCAUGCCCUUCGGAAAACUCAACCUUGACAAGUUAAAGUCAUGAAAUUUCUCAUAACGAUCACAAUUCAACUGCUGAAAUUCAUUGCUUGUGAUCCACAUACAAUCUCAAAGUGGCCUUUCUCUCCAUUCCACAAGAUGCUUUUGAUAACCUCCUCUUCUGGUUGAAACAAUUUAGUGACCAACAACUUUUCAAUCUUCUCUUUCAAUCAAGGGGCUGGUAGAAGAUGACCAUUUGGACCAUUAAUUGAUGUAGCAGCUUUAGGAUUAGGAAAAAGGGUGUGGUCUUCAAUAUUAGAGAUCUUAUUAAUGCCCAUAUUUUCUGGCAAGUCAAGUACAUAAGCGUUGGGACUUGUUUUCCUGAGAAUUUUAUAGGGACCAACAUUCUUUGAGUGGAGUUCUUAUAGGCACCUCUAGGAUAUUGUUCAGGCCUUAUUCACACAAUAACCAUAUCACCUUCAAUAAGUUCAGCAAAUUUUCUUUUCACAUCAUCGUAUGACUUAUUUAUUUAUUUGAUAGGCAAGCGGGAAAAACAUGUAAUCAUAUGACUUAUAAUUUCAUUGAUGAAAACAAGUUUCAUUGAACAUGAUAAUGUAUGCCAUCUAUAUGCUCACUAAAAGCAUCAGAUUCAAUGCUAGGUCAUGCAUCCAUUGGUAAAGGAACCAAAUCCAUAGGCUUUCUAGGAAGUGAUUCAGUCACAAUCUCAAAUGGACUGUGACCAAUAGACCUGUUCAGGGAGCUAUUAUUUGCAAAUUCGGCCAUUGAUCUGAUCUCCAGCUAGGCAGUGAAGUAAAUGAUCCAAGCUUCAAUUAACGACUUCUAUUUAGCCAUCUGUUUGAGGGUGAAAAGCAAAAGAAAACUUUAGUUUGGCAUUCAGUAUUUUCCAUAAAGUUCACCAGAAGAAACUCAUGGACCUACCAUCCAGUUUAGGAAAAUCAUGAAGGCGAACAAUUUCCUUGAAGAAGAGGUUUUUUUUUUUUUUUGAUAGGUAUUCCUUGAAGAAGAGUUUAACAAUUAGGCAACAUCUUUAGUCCUUAAGCAUGGGAUAAAUUGUACCAUCUUGGAGUAAUGAUUUACCACUACACGUAUGCAAUCAUGUCUCUGACAGUUUUCGGCAAACCAGGGACAAAAUCCAUGCAUAGGUCUAGCCAUGGCUCAUGUGGCACAGAAGUGGCAUGUAUGGAUCUGUAUUCUUCCUUUUCCUCUUUGAUAAUUUGCAGGUUCGAUGUCUGGAGACAUUCUUAGCCACAUCUUUUUCAGACUUGGUCAAUAAAAAUGAUUUUCCACCAUUGUAAUGGUUUUAUCUCUUCCAAAAUGACCAGUUGUUUCUCCAGCAUGAAGUUCCAAUAUUACUUGCUCAUGAAAUGAUGUUUUGGGUAAGCAAAGCCGAGUCCCUUUGAAGCAAUAUCAAUCAUGUAAAAAAUCACCAUAUUCUCCCGAAUUUCUAGGCACUAAAGCAACACAUAUAGUGCUAAAAUCUUUGCAAGAAGGAUAAGGGCUCUUAAACGAGUCAAAUCCAACAACUUGUACAGCAAUAGAAGAAAGAGUGUAUGCCAAUUUGCUAAGAGCCACUGCAAAGAAUUCUUUGUCAUAGAUACAAUAUUUCUGCUUUGCUUCAUUAAGAUUUUUGCUGAGAAAUGCAGUAGGGACACCUCUAACUCUUAUAUUUGAUGCAUUGCAUGCCGCUUCUAACACCUCCCGGAAAAUUGGAAGCUGCAAAACCAGUGCUUCAAUUAACGUUUUUGCCUUGGUCCAAUUCAACUGAUUUUUCUUCAUAGAAUAAGUUAUAGGGGCUGUAACAUUGCUGAAACUUAUGAUGAAAUGUCCAUGGAACAUUUCUAGCCCAUAGUAACUUUGUACUUAUUGUGAUGUGUUGGGAAUUAGGAUGGCUUUUACUUCAUUCAUACUUCCAAUCCUUUUGCCAAAACAAGAAGCCUAAGAAUACUACUGCUGAGAUCAUGAAAGAGCAUUUCUUCAAAUUUAUGUAGAGCUUUUCUUGGGGAACAACUGUCAUAACUUGCGAUAGAUGAGAGAUGUGAUCUCCUUUGGUCUUGCUGUAAUUAAGAUGUCAUCAAAGUAAACAACCAGGAACUUUUCAAUAAAUGGCUGAAGUACUUGAUUUAUGAAGCACAUGAAUGUGCUAGGGGCAUUUGAAAGGCCAAAAGGCAUGACUAGCCACUCAUAGAGGCCAUCUUUUGUUUUAAAGUCCGUCUUCCAUUCCUUUUCCAGUGUGCUGCUUAUUUGAUGAUAUCCACUCUUUAAAUCCAUCUUUGAAAAUAUGCAAGAGCCAGCCAUCAUGUCAUAUCUAACAUGUGAUUGAAUCAAGGGAUAGGAAACUGAUACUUGAUGGCUAUCUUGUUAGUAGUGUGACUGCCAACUACUAUCUUUUUUUGGUGUUAGCAAGGCAGGGACAGCACGAGGGCUUAAACUUUCAUGAAUAGUUCCCUUGGGCAGCAGCUACUCCAAUUGUCCUUUUAGUGCUUCAUGCUCACUUGGAUUCAUAUGAUAGGCUGGAAGAUUAGGCAGUUGAGGCCUUGCCAUAAAAUCUAUAAGCAUGCUGGAUGUUGCACAGAGAGGAAAGUUUUUGAGCAACAUCUAUGGUAGGUCUUUUCGAGCAACAUCUAUAGUCAUCAGGAUCAUAGGCUCUAUAAUCAAAUGAAUUUCGGUUUCUUCAUCUUUUUGUUGUUCUUGUUGUUCUUGUUGUUCUUCAUGCUCCAUUCCGAUGUACAAAUUGUUCUUUGGACAAUUUAGGUUAUUUGGCCGGGUUGUUGACACUUAAAACACCUAUUAACCUUACCCUUAGGGUUAGCGGCAUUAGAAGAAUACAACUUAGACCCUGUAGGUUGGACAAAUGGCUCGGAUUGGCCUAUUCUUGCACUGCAACCUACAUCAGUGAACCUCCUCUGCACUGGUUCUAUGGAUGAAACUCACAUCCCAGGUACGCCUCCAUAUCUAAUGCAAAUUGAAAAGCUUUUUCUAGGCUGUAUAAUGGAUGAUGCAUCAACUCUCUUCUCAUUUUAGGUCUCGAUCCAGCUUUGAAUCAUGCAAGAGUUUGCCCUUGGGUCUUCUACUAUUUGACUCCAAGUCUUUAGCUCAUGUAAUCUUUGCAUGUACUUUGGUCUCUGCAACAGACAUGUUGUUUUGAUUCAUAGUAAUGAGGUGAUUACAUAACUUAUUACAAUAAUUGGUCCUGCAUAUAUUUUUCACAUAGCUUAUCCUUCAUCUCCUGCCAUGUGCUGACAGGUGGUAGCCUCAUCUUCCCAUCUUCCUAGUAUCUCUUUCAACAUCUAUCCACUAAUCUUUUGCUAGGCCUACUAGUUUCAUUUUAGUAAACCACCCUCUCUGUUCAUCAUUCAUACAUACCAAUCAAAACAGUCCUCAAUUGUAGCUAGCCAAUCAACAAAUUGAGUAGCAUCGCCCUUCCUUCAAGUUAGGAACUUCUCCUUUUACUUUCCUUGUGAUAUCUUCAGCAGUUUCACAAGGUUUACACCUUGUUUCAGGUAGUCCUCUAGCCCAUUCAGAUAUAGGAUAUUGUGGUGCAUGUCCGAUGUUCCUCCAAGUUUUUGUUGUUAUUAAUUUGAGAUAAUUCUCCUUGCACAACACGUGCUAAAUCAUUAGUGGGCUGAGAUAUUUGUGUCUCAAUGUUGCUUAGUUGAAUAUGCAGGCUAUCAAGCUGUUCCAUCACCAAAAUAGUAUCUCAUCAUGUUGAUUAUUAGAUAAAUCUAUUUUGAAACUCCUCCUAGGUCUUGUAAUCAUGAUCUCAGCUUGCUCUGAUGCCAAAAUUGAUGCCAAACAGAAAGGUAAUAGAAAACAUGUUGGGACUCUAGGAAUCACUUCCAAAUCUUAGGCUUCACACUUAAGUUCAGUUUGCAUCACACAAACAAGUUGAACUGUCACAGUACGAUUGGUUCAUAAUAAGGUGUCAUCUGAUUGGUUCUCGUGGAGGCAACCUGUGAUUGUUCAAACUGGAGGCUGCACCUGAUUGAUUACAUUGAAAGUUGGAAGGUUUUGUAUGAGAUAAAUGAACCAACUUUAUCCACUAUAACUCUAGACCUUAGACUCUUUUGGAGCUAAUGGCAAUACUAAUGAAGUUGGAAAAUCAACAAUGUGAACUGAUAAAAAAAAUUGAAAGACUCUUGAAAAUGUAAAGCAUUAAUGAUUUUGGAAAUAAGAACACUUGUGAUCCUUUGACUAGACUCAUAAACAAAACUUAGACUGAAAUCCACAUUGAAGUAUAUAAAAUCCCAACUGGGCCUAUUAUCAUCCUAAGUAUACCAAAUCAUAAUUUGGGCCUUAAGAGUCCAAUCUCUAUGCAUUUGUUAACCUUUCACAGGUGAUUGCCACUUGUCUUCAUCGCUAACAAACACGAUUAUAGCAUCAGAGAAGAGCCAUGUCCCCAAAUCUGGCAGUAAAAGUUCUUUUUACAAGCUAACCUCAGGGAUCCAAUUACUACAUUAUUGUGUUAACCAUGAGCAUUGGUGCUCCUGUUCUGCUUGCAUGGUUACACUGAACCUGCUAUCCAAAUGUGUUGGUUGACCGAAUGAGAAACUCUAGGAAAAUGAAUGAAUUCAUAGUGACAUAGCAACAUUGAAUGCAACUUGUGUGUUUGUGUGAACAGGAUUGGGCGAGUUAAAGAGAGUUUUUAGAAGGGAUAAUACCUUUUUAAUUGGUCUUAGUGUUCAGUAUGCAGCUGGUUCAGUGAUCAGGAGGCCAGUUUAUAAUACAAUUUUCUUGAGAUUUUUAUUGAAGUGAUCCCUUGAAAAGUCAGGCUACUUUUCCAAGAAGUAAAUAUUUUAUCUUGUAGGUUGUAAAAGAUGCAUUCUCAGAAUAGGUGCCUUGAUUAUGUUUCUUCAGCAGAAGAACCUACAAUUAGGAUCCUGUGUAUAUCCUUUCUUGGAAUUUUCAUAAAUUUACCAGUAUUAACUUCCUAUUUUAGGACUAACUGUUCAGAAAAUCUAUGGAAAAGACUAAAGAGUAAGUACUAAGUAGAACCUCCAAGGGCUGCUAAAAAGCACUUCCCAGGGCCAUGAGCCAAAACUGGGCCAUUUGGAAAGGGGUUGUAACAAGUCACUUGACUAGGGGUUGUUAGAGGCCAUCAUUAGCCAAGAUUGGUUUUAGAUUCAACUUUAGGAAUUUAUUUAUUUUUCCUGAUUUCUCUUUUAUUUUUAGUUACAUAAUCAUAUUUGACUCUUGCUUUCCACUCUAAAUUCACAAUAUGUGAACCUUAUGAUAGAAAUUUUUAACUUCAGAACAUGAGUUGGGAUGUAUCAGAGAAGAAAGUUUCAAAUCCCUGGACUAGCAUUUCUGUAAUGCCUCAAUGAAAUUUUAUUGUAUGAUUAUCUACUUGAAGUAGCAAACCAUUAUCCUUUUAUUGCCAUUGAAUUGUGAAACCAUUAUGCCAUUACAUUGACAUCUCCAAAUGAAUUAUUUUAAUUUGAAUAGUUUUGCAUUAACUUAUUAUUUGACAAUCAUUGCCUAUAGUUUUUUGGCAGAACACUAUGAUCUCACUAAGCAACAUCCAUUGAUAAUUUAUCAGGAGAAAUGGUUAGAAGUUUUAGGUUGUGGGGUGACAGAGCAAGAAAUAUUACAGAAAAGUGGUAAAACAGGUAAUGUUGCUUGGGCUUUUGGGCUUGGAUUGGAACGGCUAGCAAUGGUUCUGUUUGGGAUACCUGAUAUUCGGCUUUUCUGGUCAACUGAUGAGCGGUUGACCUCUCAAGUAAUUCCCCAAUUCAGUAAAUGAUACUGUAUUUUAUUUUAUUCUCCUUUUCUGUCUUUGUGGUUAAGUAAUCAUUACCAAAAUUGAUAUCCUUAGGAAAAUAAAGCAUGCUGAAAAUUGACCUUGUUGACAUUCUUAAUGUCUGAUUUAGGUUCCCUGAAUGUUUAAUUUAAAUGCUUUGUAUGCAGUUCUCAAAGGACCAGCUUGGGGUCAAGUUCAAGCCAUUUUCAAAGGUAUUGCUUAUAUUUUUCUCAGUUUGAUAAUAGUAGUAUCUUCUUCUGAUGUUGUGUUAAUUGAAACUGUUGCAUAAUUUUCAUGCAAAAGGAUCCAAGACAUUUUGGGGGCCGGCAUUUCUAAGUAUAACCAGAAAAAGUCCUUUAUGCAAAUAUGUCUUUUACAUUCUGAAAUCGAAAAAAUUAAUUACACACAACAUAAUAACUAAAUAUUUAUACCUGUUAGAGCCCCUUGUAACCUUCUCUAUUGGCUGCUAGAAACUGACUAUUGUCUUUUUGCAGUAUCCUCCUUGUUACAAGGGCAUGAGUUUUUGGAUUAAUGAGUCGUUCACAGAAAACAAUUUAUGUGAGGUUGUAAGAGGAGUUGCUGGAGAUUUUGUCCAGGAGGUAUGCCUUUUUAUGUUUCUUCUUGUAAAUUGUUCAUUAGCUAUAGAUCUCUUCAUGGUUCACUUGGUAGAAUUUUCCUAACCAUUUGUAUAGUUACACUGAAAGCACCGAACCAAUUUGUGUUUUAAUUAGGGGUGUGCAGGGUUUGGUUUGUUUAGUUUCGAACUUUAAAAUAAAACCAAACCAGUCUAAUUGGUUUUAUGUAUUAGGAACCCAAGCUGGCCUAAUCGGUUUUAUGUAUUAGGAACCAGACUAAUUGAACUGAAAGAGGGAACUGAUCGGUUCAGUUCAGUUUAAUAGCAAUAAUUGAUAUAAGUUAAUUUACUAUAUUUCGGUCAAGAAAUAAAAUAAUUUUUUUUUUUUUAAUCAAUUUGGGUCGAAACCAAAAAGCUCAUAAUAGGACAUUGUUGGUCAAAAAGCUUAUAAUAGUUUAUUACAACAAGUUGCUUUAGAGUUUGCUCAAAUUACAUCAUUGUAACUCAUUUCAAAUCAUAUUAUUGUAACACAGCCGCAUGAAUAACUGUUGUUAUAGUCUAUGCUUAUCAUACUAAGUUUGGUUUGGGAUUCUAUCGAGUGUGAAAGAAGUGCACCAAAUUAAUAAGGUAACCAAUGGUUAUUGUAUAUUAUAGGUGUAUGUAUAUAACUUUUGAUUUGGUUUGGUUUAUUAUUUGUUUUCUAAAUGGCAUAGUUCAGUUUUUUUUAGAAAACCAAAAUUGUUGAAAAAUCUUUAAAAAUUGAUUGGUUCAGGCCAGUGUGGCUCAGUUCUAUCAUUUUUGUCCAUUUAAUCGGUUUUUAACACACCCCUAGUUUUAUUUCACUUUUCAGUUCUUGGACUUUCCAUGAAAAUAAUAUUGUUGUCAUGAAGCUACUGAGGCAGUUAUGGACCAAUUCCAUCCUCUGAAUUUGCUCAUAAAAGAGAUCCUCUCUCUUCUCUUCUUUUCUAUCUACCAUCAGUUGCAAUAAUAGAUCCAGUUUGCACAAAGCCAAGCUUAGAAAAUCUGGUCAUUGACAACCUGAAUAGUCUCUGGGAGCAUCCAGUAUCUUUUCUCCUUUGUGAGGGUGGAUAACUGGUCUGGGUCCCCUGCAUCAUUUUUCAUAGGUUGCAGAGCUGCUGUGUCCGUAUAGGAAAUAACAUGUUCUUCCUUCAUAGCUUUAAGUGCCAUCAGGAAUUGGAUAUGCUAAUAUGAGUGGGAGGACUCCAGAUGGUGGACUUACGAAGACCUCCACUCUGAUUCAUUGAUGCCAAACAUAUAAUUGUGAUAAAGAGAGGCUUCGGAAGUUGAUAUUCUUUUAAAGUGUUUCCAAUAUUGAAGGUUUAUAAAGAGGUUCAAAUUGAGAAAUUACUAUUCUCUAAAUAAUAGGAUCGUAGUCGGUUUUUCGUUCAAAAUUUGUCCUAUAUUCCAAGAUGAUUGUUGACAAUCUGAUCUAUAGUUAAACAGUGGCCAUAAUAAGUCCCUAUUUUCCUAGUGCCUGAAAGUGAAGCUCCAUUCUGAAGUUUUCUAAACUAUAAGAUACAUUUUUGACUUCCAGGUGCAAUUGAUCGACAAUUUCACCAACAACAAAGGAAUGACCAGUCAAUGUUAUCGGAUAGCAUACCGGUCCAUGGAGCGUUCACUUACAGAUGAGGAGAUAAAUGAGUUGCAGGUAUUUCAUGUUUAGGGGAUUUUGUACAAGUGAUUAAUAUUUCGUCUUGAUUACAGGUAAUGACUAAUAACCUGGAAUUUGGCUAUGAUUCUGGGGUGCAGUGGAAUGUUAGGGAGCAAGUGCACAGCAAGUUGAAGGUUGUUCUUAGAUGAGAUUUCUGAUGCUGGGAACCUAAUUUUUCUAUCUCACUCUGAUAAGUCUCCUUGUGAACAUUUUCUAUUAUUAUUCUUUUUGUUCCUACCUUUUACAUUUUGAACUAGGUACAGUUGGGAAAUUAGGCAUUCAAAACCAGCUUUAAUGGGAGAAACACUUUAGGAAAAUAAGGAAAAUGUACUAGAAAGAAUAAUGCAUACGUUGAUCAAUGUGAAAUUUAUUUUUGUAUACAAUGUUUCUCUAAUAAUUUUAACAAUGCCUGACCUUAAAUAUAGUAAUUAAUUGCUCUUUUGCAGUUGUAUUCCCUUUUAUUUUAAUUUUUAAAUUUUUUUUUUUUUUUUAAGAACAUCACAAACAACUAUUUUAUUAUAUUAAAAUAGUAGGUACAAAGCAAGAUGAGAAAUCUUCCCAAUUAGUAUAAAACACCCUUAUGCAAUAUUUAUGAAAAUAGGUGUAUAGUGUCCAAAAAGAUCAAUUUAUCUUAUAGGCCAAACUGGUUUGGACAAUGCUCACUAUAGAUCCAUAAGGUAAAAAAAUCUCUUAUAGAAGAAACCGAAUGUCUUCCUCCAUGCUUUGCUAACACUCCCAGCACAAUUGCUUUAGCAAUGAACAGCAAUGAACCUAAUAAAAUGGCCAUAUCAUUUCUGAUCUAAUAUCAAUGAUUUGAAGUUAUGACCCCUCAAACUUCUAGGGUUCUCUUUUUUUUUUCCUUGGUCAUCCGUGAUAUUAGAAUGGUAGAAGCUACUUCUAAUAGGAGAUUGGAGAGGCCUAAAGCUUUUGCUUGCAAUAAACUCUCUAGAAAGGUUAGGAUCUUUGCCUCAAUGGCUAAACUCUGACUUGCAUAUAUAGAGAAUUCUCUUAUUAUUAUACCAAAGUGGUCAUUGAGUAACUCUCUAAUCCCCAACUCCCCUAGUUACCCAAAGAACCCCAUUAACAAUUAGCAUAUAACUUAUGCAGCACAUGCUACACUGAUGGAGCCUUUAGGAACUAUUUUCAUGUUUGUUAGGCUAAUUCAUCCUCAAUAUUAUGUCAAUGCCAACUUUUAGCUUGAGUUUGAAUUGCCUAUAUUAUGGAAAGAAAAUAAGAUAGGAAGAAACAUGAAAUUCUCUUGUUUGAUUUACUAUAAAAAAAUAUGAAGAAAAAUAAAAUAUAGUAGAAAUGACUUAAAACCGUUAUACGUUCAAAUUCUUUAGUUUUUCUAUGAUAGAAAAAUAAAUUUGAAGAAGCAAGUAACUUUAGUUCAAAUUCAUUUUAUUGGGUAAUCAUUGUUUUUAUUACCCAUCUCAAGUUGUUAAGUCUUUCAAGCCUUAAAACUGAUUAGAGGUGAUUGUGAUAUCCUACAUGGGAUAGGGAAAAAAGUUUAUGACAUUAUACAUGUAUACAUUUCUUUUAAUAAUAUAGACACAUUUAAAGUCACGAGGGAUCAAAAUGAACGAUAUCAAUAUAAAAUGAGAACAAUCUAUUACAAUUAUACUUGCAAUAACCUUAAAAAAUUUGGAUACAUAAAACUACAAUCAUGUUUUUGUUGGGAAAAACGGUGUAGUAAAUACUUUUUUGUUGUUAUAUUAUAAAAACCAUAAAUUUCUAAAUUUCCGUUUCCUUUUCAAUUCUUUAUAUGUUUAAAAUUUUCAUCCAAACCAAGAUCCAAGAAAAACUUAAAACAAAGAAAAAAUGAAAAAUUAAUUUAACAUGUAUAAUUUUUUAAUAAGAAUUUAUAAUUCAUAAUUCAAACGAUAUUGUGAAUUGUAGACACUGGAUUAUACUUAGAGAAUCAUUCAAAGAAUGACGGUCAUGUGAAUGACAUAGGAUACCCAUUGCGUGCAUGUGACAUCUACUUCAUUUAGAGUCAGUUUGACAAUUAUUCUAAAAAACGUUUUUAGUGUAAAACAUGUUUUUGAAAAAAAAAAUUAGAUGCUUGACAAAAUUUAUGAAACACUUUUAAGAAUCUAAAAAAUCACGUAUAGUGUUUUAUGAAGAAAAACUUAAUAAAAAGUGAUUAUCCUCAAAAUACUUUCAAAGAAUACUUUCAUUAAAAAUACUUUAAAUAAAAACACUACAAAACAUACCUUUGAUUCAUUAUAAAGUAAUUUUCAUAUUUUAUAUAAUUAGACCCAUGCGAUUUGUCCACUAUUCAUGAUGAAUUUCCCUAUUUUAUAUAAGAACCCAUGAGAUUUGUCCACUGUUCUCUUUUCCAACUCUUCCAACUUCUUAUCUAAUAUUUAAAAUUGAUAAAUAUGAAUCCCUUUACCCUAGAGAAUAGUUCUAAGUGAACAGCUUAGCUUAUUUCAGUUUUCAUCUAAAGCAUAAUAGGUAUUCAUUUUACAUUCUAAUUCAUCUCCAUUCUCAUCCUAUUCUUCUUAGUCGGACAUGCCAAACACAUCCUUAAGCCAAGGAUGAACUUAUCGGUUAUGACUAAUAUAUCGAUAAUUUAAUUUUAUGGAUGUAUUGAGAUACAUGGAGAAAUAUCGGUGGAUAUUUUGAUAUAAAAUAUAAGUAAGAUAAAUAGAUUAAAAUUCAUGAAAAUGUUAAAAGAAACUUUAAAAAUGAUAUAAUAAAUAACAAUAAAGAUUUUAAAGUUGGUAUACUAACGAAAAUGAUAUAUGUAUGAUAUAGUUUAUCAAAUUUGAUAAUAAUAUAUGUGUGUUAAUAAAAAAUUAUUAUUUUGAUAUGUCAAAUAUUAUUCGAGAAUAAUGUUGCAACUUUUGUUUAUAAUACAAGUAAUUUUAAAAUAUAAUUAAUAUUAAAAUUGUGAUCUAUUUAAUUCAAUUAUAUAUAUAUAUAUAAAAUUUCUUUAACAUUUAGUAAAUAUAUUAAUGAUAUAAAAAAAGCUCUGUGAAGAAAAUUGUCAUCAUAAUUUUUAUGCCUUUUGUAUUCAAUUAAAUGAAAACUUUCAUUUAAUUAUCAAAUGAUUAUAAUUAAUUAAUUUAUUAAAAUAUUCUUAUAAUAUUUAUUUUUAUAAUGGCUUUUAAUAUAUAUAUAUAUAUAAUUGGUCGUCUUUUGUCUAGAAUUCGAAUUUACCGUGUUGACCAUGUUUGAUCAAGAAUAUUACUCGAGUUUUGACCACAUUUGAUGAUUGAGAAUGUCAUCGAUGUUUCGUGAUUUUUUAAUCCUUACCUAAAACAUGACAUUUUAUUUCGUUUUUAUUCUCAUCCUAUUCUAAUUUCUAAUCUGACAUACCAAACACAUCUUACGGUCUUCAAAGGUUUUGUCCAAGGUCUAACUCCCAAAGAAUUGGUGUGGUGAUCAUUAUUUUUGUUAGCCAUCAAAAGUCGUUGGAUCUUUCAAGUCCAAGGGAAAAAAAAAUUAAGCAUUUUUUAAAUAAACAUACCAAUUUAAACAUUUUUUUAAUAUAUAUAUUUUGGUAGCUUUCGUAUCAUGAUGUUGACAUCGUUUAAAAUUGGGAAACUUGUGUUUUGGUCCUCUGAUAUAAAAAAUAUAUGCUUUUGGAAACUAAAAUAUAUGAAAUAUGAAAUCCAACUAUUAAUGGGAAAAAUGAUAUCGGAAACGUGCACUAUGUCCUGUUUACUUUUCCUCUUCCCAUAUUGCCCCUAAAUUUCCCCAUGUCAUUAGCAAGUCCUCUCCAUGUUAGCAGAAUAAUCUGAAACUUGAACUAAUUCUCAAAGUUGGAACAUAAAAAAACCCAACCCUAGAACCAAAAGUAUGGAAACUCGUCUACGUUACUGAACAAGGAAGUGUCAAAAUGUGCCUUUUAUUGUGCCUUUGCCUGAGACGACUUAGUAGGCGCUUGCCUUAUGCCCUAAAAAUGAAUAGAAAAGAAUUAAUGGCUUGGAUUGUGUACCAACAACCAAUCUCCAUAAAAGUCAUUUGCCUUGAGUUGGUAAGGGAACUUGCUGCAAUUCAAUCUAGGGUUAUCAUAGAUCAUCUAUUUUAGCUCUCAAUGUUGUUUCAGGUAACAUAUUUGAAUGAUAUUUUAUGAAUUUCAUUUAAUACAAUAUGUGUUCUAAAUGAUGCUUCUUUUUUUAUAAUUAGAGUUAAUCUCUAUUUACUUUUCUUAGAUUUUACCAACUGUAGUUAGAAUUCCUCCAGUUCAUCUUUUAAAGAAAAAACAACAUUCGGUUGAUUAUGGGUGUUGCAAUUUCUAUUGGAUGUGUGAGCAUCAUACUAAUAUGUGAAGUUUUUUACAUAAAAAGGAAAUCUUUAGAUGUUAAUGAGGAUGAAGGCACUUCUUUUGCUCAAUAUUACUAAAUUUAAGCUUCAGAUGUCAAUGAGAAUGUCAAUGGGCUUUUUUCUACAGAUGUCAUGGUAGCAUCUUUAGUUAGUAUUAUUUGCUGCCCAAUUAUAGAAGACCCAAGAAGCUGGAUGGGCUUGAGAUGCAUGGAGUGGUAGUUGAGUGAUUUAUCUUAAUGUUCUUGAUUCAACUUUUUGCCUGUAAUAUAGCAAUGACAUUUCCCUAAGAAUAAAGUCAUCUCCAAAGAAUCUUUGCACAAAUACACAAUGAUCAUAAGUUGUCUUGUUGUAUCCUUGCUUCUCCAUAAUUGACUCAAACUUCUUGUAUCAUUGCCUAGGUGCCUGUUUCAUGCCAUAAAGACUUUUCUUCAAUCUAUAAAAAUAAUCUUCUUGUCCUUUUACUUUGAAUCCCUUUGAAGGCUCCAUGUAUAUCUCUUUCUCCAAGUCACCAUGGAGGAAAGCAAUUUUCAUAUCCAUUUGUUUAAUCUCUAAGUCAAGACUAGCUGCAAGACCAAACACUACACAAAUGGAUGACAUUUUCACAAUUGGAACAAAGAUUUCUUCAAAGUCAAUGCCUUUCUUCUAGCUAAAUCCCUUGACAACUAGUCUAGCCUUGUAUCUUGGGUAUGAAGUGUGUUCUUCUUGCUUCACCCUGUACACCCAUUUGUUUUCCAAGGCUCAUUUUUCCUUUGUGCAGCUUCAUUAACUCAAAAGUGUGAUUAGCAUGCAAGGACUUCAUCUCAUCUUGUAUAGCCUCAAUCCACUCUCUCUUCUACUUACUCUCUAUAGUUUCUUCAAAGCUCUUAGGUUCUUCCCCAUCAAUGAAUAUGACAUACUCUUUUAGGGAGCAUCUUGUGGAAGACUGACGAUUCCUGGUAGACCGUCUAGAUGAGACUAUAGGAGUAGCUUGUGGUACUUGUGGCUAGUCAAUAACUUCAGAAUUUAUAACCUCUAUAGGUUCUAAAUCAUCACUUGCACCAUGUGGUCAUUUUGUGUCUCAACAUCAAGUUGAUUUGCCAUUGGUGUUAAAGAAAUUAUUUCCAAGUCAAUCAACUUGUCACUACUAUCAAAUUUUGCUUUCUCCACUUCAUCAAGGUCUAUUAUUGUCUAGUCUUCCAUAAAUACAAUGUCUCGACUUCUAAUCAACUUAUUCUCAACUGGAUUAUACAAUCUGAACCCAAAUUCAUUUUGGCCAUAACCCACAAAUACACACUAGCGUGUCUUCACAUCAAGCUUGGACCUUUCAUCUUUAGGAAUGUGCAUAAAGGCCUUACAUCCAAAGACUUGCAAAUGAUCAUAGGAAACAUCUUUGCCUAUCCAAACUCUAUCUAGCACAUCAAACAACAAAAGAAUAGAAGGUGAGAAAUUCAACACAUGAACCACUAUAUUUAAAGCCUCACCCUAGAAAGAUUUAGGCAACCUUGCUUGUGAAAGCAAACAUAUCACUCUCUCAACCAAUGUUCUAUACAUCCUUUUAGCCAAACCAUUCAAUUGCGGUAUCUGUUAGCCUAAGGGCUCCUAAUCGGGUUUUGAUGAUAACAAACCAUGGUUAAGUGACUAAUUGGUUUAAUGAUUAAGAAUCUUAGGCAUAAACUCGAAAAUUCAUCAAAUGACCAAAUGGAUACAAGAUCGAGACGCUUGGAAGACUUGUGAUCAUAGGAAACAAAUGUAAGAUGAAUGCAUGAGUGCACUUAGGAUUUUCACACGUUUCAUGCAACUUAGAAAACUCGGUUUAUUCUUUAAAACUUUGAUUUCAUUAAAACCCGAGUUUUUAACUAAUGUACCUUAGGCAAAAUGUUUUAUAAUUGGUUUAAUAAUUCACCUAUUGACCUUGCCUAAGUGUUAGAAAAGAAAGAAAAUAAAAAAAAUAGGUUUUCGAGGCCAAAAAGGCUCAACUGGUCGAGGCUAUGGCCAAUCGGCUCAACCGGUUAAGGAACCGCUCGACUGGUUGUGCUCGUCCGGUUGAGGGAUGCGAAAAACUUUCUCUCUCUCCCAGUGGCCUUCUCUUUCUAGUCGAAGUGAUUCUCUUCCCGAUCGAUGUCCGAUCGAGGAUCGGUCGAGGUUCGGUCGAGGCAACGGUAACCUAUCAAGCAUUAAAUUCUCCAACGGCUAGUGAACCAGUCGACCCCUAGCUCGACCGGACGAGGUUACCUUUUGCUGUUUUUGACUCCUGAGCUUAGAAACCUAUAAAUUGAGAGCUCCACUUCAUUUAUUGAUAAGAGAACACUUGCAUUCAAUAGUCUACCUACUUGUUCUUGAUCAAAAAGUUCUCAUUUCUUUCAUAGUGCAUUAAAUCACCACUUGCAUAUCCUUUAGUGCACUCUUGUGUGUCAUCCUAGCUUUGUCUUAUAUUUAAGCUAUCCUUAAGCUAGGUUGAGGGAUUAUUUCUUGUAAAAAUCUGGGUGUUAAAGCCUUCAAGAGGUUUGAAUCUUGAAGAGAUUGUGUAAGAGCCCAUUGAAGCCGGAAUCCAAGUGUAAGAAGAUUGGAAGCUUGGUUGAAGCUUCAAGUUAGUGGAACCCACACUUAGUUAGGAGAUUGAGGAGAGUGGAUGUAGGCAAGGAAGUGCCGAACCACUAUAAACUCGAGUUUGAAUUCUCUAGCUCUAUCUUUUUAUUUUGCUUAUAUUGUGUUUGAAUUUGUUGUGAUUGAAAAGUUUUUAAAAACCCAAUUCACUCCCCCCCCCCCCUCCCCCCUCUCCCCUCUCCCUUUUGGGUGCUUUUCUUAAUUAAGCAUAGCCUUUGUUUUCUCAAUUGGAAUUAGAGCUAGACCUCUUGUUUUUUAAAGACUUAAUCAUCUAAGAGGAAAUGGCUAUUCCAUCAAGCUCAUCCCAAGCUGAAAAUUUUUCAAAACAUAGAGCUCCAUUCUUUACGGGAACCGACUAUCCCUAUUGGAAAACUAGAAUGACUUGGUAUUUGCAAUCUACAAAUUUAGAUGUAUGGGAUGUCAUUGAAGAUGACCCAACUUUUCCCACUAAAUUAGUUGAUGGAGUUUUGGUUCCAAAACCCGAGUAAGAAUGGAAUGAGCUUGAUAGAAGAAACUUUCAAUUAAAUGUUAAAGCCGUUUUUACUUUGCAAUGUGCUAUGGAGGUUGCUUGAAAUAACUCAUGAAGGAACUAAUCAAGUGAAAGAGUCAAAAAUUAAUUUACUUGUUCAUAAGUAUGAAUUGUUUUUAAUGAAAGAAAAUGAGACUACUAUUGAGAUGAUUACUAGGUUCACUGACAUUGUCAAUGGUCUUGAAACUUUUGGAAAAACCUGCAAGGAAUCCGAGAAGGUGAUGAAGAUAUUGAGGUCUCUCCCAUCAAAGUGGCAUACCAAGGUCACCACAAUUCAAGAAGCAAAAGAUUUGACUAAGCUACCUAUGAAAGAGCUCAUAGGGUCAUUAAUGACAUAUGAGAUCAAUUUGACAAAUAAGCUACAAGAGGGUGAAGAUAAAAAGAAGAAGAUCAUAGCCCUCAAAGCUACAACCAAGGAAGAAGAAGAUGUUGAAGAAGAAAAACCAAGUGAUGAAGAUGAUGAUUUAGCCCUCAUCACAAGAAACCUCAACAAAUACAUGAGAUGUGAAAGGUUUCGAGGAAGGAAGUUCACCUCUAAAAGAGAUCCUCCUAAAAAGGAAUCAUCCCAUGGUGAAAAGGAGAAAUGAGAAGAGAAAAGAGAUUUGAUAUGCUUCAAGUGCAAAAAACCGGGACACAUUAAAUAUGAUUGUCCUCUAUACAAAAGUGAAGCCAAGAGAAGAAUGAAAAAGGCAAUGAUGGCCACUUGGAGUGAAAGUGAAGAAUCCUCCGAAGAAGAAAAGGAGAAGGAAGUGGCAAACAUGUGCUUCAUGGCAAUAGAUGAUCUUGAUGAGGUAAACUCUAAUUUUAUUGAUGAAGAUAUGCAUGAUGUUUUUGAAGAAUUAUAUGAGGAUUUUGAAAAACUUAGUUUGAAAAAUAAUUCUCUUAAAAAGAAGAUUCAAGAACUUGAAGAAGUCAAAGAAAAAAUUUCAAUUAUUGAAAUAUCUAAAACUCAUCUUGAAAAAGAAAAUGAGAUUUUGAGAAGUGAAAAUGAGAUUUUGAAAAAGAAAAAUGAAUGGUUGACCUCAUUUCUUUCAAUUUUCUCUUGUGGACAAAAAUAUUUUGAAAUGAUCUUAGCUAGCCAAAAAUGUGUCUUUGAUAAACAAGGGUUAGGAUUCAAAUCUUCAAAAAAUCAAAAGUAUUUUAAAAACUACUUUGUAAAAGAAUCCACAAGUGCAAGUCCUUCUACCAUUUGCAACUUUUGUGGAAGAGGAUGACACAUUAGUAGUACAUGUCCCCUAAGAAAUGGUUCUUAAAAGAAUUCAAAUGCCAAGCUAAAAAGGUUUGGGUUGAAAAAUCCAAAAUCACUAACCCUCAAGGACCCAAAAAAAUAUGGGUACCUAAAUCAAUUUAAAUUUUGUUUUGUAGGGUUUAAAAAAGGAUAAAUGGUUCUUGGAUAGUGGAUGCUCAAGACACAUGACCGGGGAUGAAUCCAAGUUUGCCUUCCUUACAAAGAGAAAGGGAGGAUACGUUACCUUUGGAGACAAUGCAAAAGGAAGGAUCAUUGGUCAAGGUAACAUUGGUAAUGGCACAUCCUCUCUUAUUGAAAGUGUUUUAUUAGUGGAUGGUUUAAAACAUAAUCUCUUGAGCAUAAGUCAACUUUGUGACAUAGGUUUUAAAGUGAUUUUUGAAGCAUCUCAUUGCAUCAUCAAAGAUAUUCAAAAUGAUAAAACCAUCUUCAUGGGCCAUAGGUGUGACAAUGUUUAUGCUAUAAAUAUUUCAAAAUAUGAUGGCCAUGAUAGAUGCUUUUCAAGCAUGCAUGAUCAAAGUUGGUUGUGACAUAGGAGGUUGGGACAUGCUAACAUGGACUUCAUUUCCCAACUCAACAAAGAUGAACUUGUUAGAGGCCUUCCCAAAAUAAAUUUUCAAAAAUACAAAGCUUGUGAAUCUUGUCAAAUGGGAAAGCAAAUAAAAAACUCUUUUAAAAACAAAAAUUUCAUUUCAACAUCUAGGCCUUUUGAAUUGUUGCAUAUGGAUUUAUUUGGUCCCUCUAGGACACCAAGCCUUGGAGGAAAAUCUUAUGCUUUUGUUAUUGUGGAUGACUUCUCUAGAUACACUUGGGUUUUAUUUUUAAGUCAAAAGAAUGAAGCCUUUUAUGAGUUUUCAAAGUUUUGCAACAAGGUUCAAAAUGAAAAAUGUUUUACAAUUACUUGUAUAAGAAGUGAUCAUAGGAGAGAAUUUGAAAAUAUUGAUUUUGAAGACUAUUGCAAUGAGCAUGGUAUUAACCAUAAUUUUUCGGCUCUUAGAACUCUUCAACAAAAUAGGGUAGUUGAAAGGAAAAAUAGAACUCUUCAAGAGAUGGCUAGAACCAUGCUUAAUGAAAACAAUUUACCAAAAUACUUUUGGGCCGAAGCGGUUAACACUUCUUGUUAUGUUUUAAAUAGAAUUUUAUUAAGGCCUAUUCUUAAGAAAACUCCCUAUGAGCUUUGGAAAAACAAAAAACCCAACAUUAGCUAUUUCAAAGUCUUUAGGUGCAAAUGCUUUAUAUUAAACACCAAAGACAAUCUUGGAAAAUUUGAUGCAAAAUCGGAUGUUGGAAUUUUUCUUGGUUACUCAACUUCAAAUAAAGCCUUUAGAGUUUUUAACAAAAGAACCAUGGUUGUUGAGGGGUCCAUCCAUGUUAUUUUUUUAUGAAUCUAACAAUUCUCUCCAAAAAAAGAGAGAGCUUUGAUGAUGAUUUAGGCUUGGAGACCUCCAUGGGAAAAUUACAAAUUGAAGAUAGAAGGCAACAAGAAGGAAUUGUUGAGGAUCCCAAGAAAGAAGAAUCACCUUUAGCACUACCCCAUCCUCAACAAGUGCAAGGUGAAUCAAGCCAAGACCUUCCUAAAGAUUGGAAGUUUGUCAUUAACCACCCACAAGAUCAAAUUAUAGCUAAUCCAUCUAGUGGGGUAAGAACUAGAUCAUCUCUUAGAAAUAUUUGCAAUAAUCUUGCUUUUAUCUCUCAAAUUGAAUAUAAAAAUAUAAAAGAUGCUCUAGUUGAUGAAAAUUGGAUGAUUGCUAUGCAAGAAGAGUUAAACCAAUUUGAAAGAAGUGAAGUAUGGGAAUUAGUGUCAAGACCUCAAAAUCAAAGUGUUAUUGGAACUAGAUGGGUCUUUAGAAAUAAAAUGGAUGAAAUGGCAUAAUUAUAAGGAAUAAAACAAGAUUGGUAGCCCAAGGUUUUAAUAAAGAAGAAGGGAUAGAUUAUGAAGAAACCUUUGCUCCCGUAGCUAGAUUGGAAGCCAUUAGGAUGCUACUUGCCUUUGCAUGUUUUAAAGACUUUGUUUUAUAUCAAAUGGAUGUGAAAAGUGUUUUCUUAAAUGGCUUUAUAAAUGAAGAGGUAUAUGUUGAACAACCACCCGGCUUUCAAAGUUUUAACUUUCCUAAUCAUGUCUUUAAACUUAAAAAGAUACUUUAUGGUUUGAAACAAGCACCUAGAGCAUGGUAUGAAAGAUUGAGUAAAUUUCUUAUGAAAAAGGAUUUUAAAAUGGAAAAAAUUGAUACAACUCUUUUCAUAAAAACCAAAUAAAAUGACAUGCUCUUAGUGCAAAUAUACGUUGAUGAUAUCAUUUUUGGAGCUACUAAUGUCUCUCUUUGUGAAGAAUUUUCUAAAUGCAUGCAUAGUGAGUUCGAAAUGAGCAUGAUGGGAGAACUUAACUUCUUCCUUAGACUUCAUAUCAAGCAACUAAAGGAAGGAACCUUCAUCAAUCAAGCAAAGUAUAUAAGAGAUCUCCUCAAAAGGUUCAAUAUGGAGGAAGCCAAAACAAUGAAGACUCCAAUGAGUUCAUCCAUCAAGCUUGACAUGGAUGAGAAAGGUAAGUCCCUCAACUCAACUAUGUAUAGAGGCAUGAUAGGUUCUUUGCUAUAUUUGACUGCUAGUAGACCCGACAUCAUGUAUAGUGUAUGCUUAUGUGCUAGAUUUCAAUCUUGUCCUAAAGAAUCCCACUUAAGUGUUGUAAAACGAAUCCUUAGAUACUUGAAACGGACAAUGGACAUAGGUUUGUGGUAUCCUAAGAGUGAUAACUUUGAAUUAAUUGGAUUCUCGGAUACCGACUUUGCCGGUUGUAAAGUUGAAAGGAAAAGCACUAGUGACACUUGUCAUUUCCUAGGACACUCACUUGUUUCAUGGUAUAGUAAGAAAUGAAUUUUGGUAGCUUUAUCAACGGCGGAAGCCGAAUACAUAGCAGCCGGUUUAUGUUGUGCACAAAUUCUUUGGAUGAAACAAACACUUAGUGAUUUCAAUUUGAUUUUUGAGCAUGUUCCUAUUAAAUGUGAUAACACUAGUGCCAUAAACAUUUCAAAAAAUUCAGUGCAACACUCUAGGACUAAGAAUAUAGAGAUAAGACACCAUUUUCUUAGAGACCAUACACAAAAGGGUGACAUUACACUUGAAUUUGUAAGCACAAAAGAUCAACUUACUGAUAUUUUUACAAAACCUCUAAGUGAAAAACAAUUUGUUGAUAUUAGAAGACAACUAGGGGUGAUUUCUUUAUGAUCAAAUGAUUGCUUGAUGAAUUCUUGAUUGAAUAUACCUUAUGAUUACGUGAAUUUCAUAUCAUAUAGAAAUAAUCUUAGGAAAAAGGUCAAAUUUUGACCAAAAAUCAAAAUUCCCUUGGCAUUGGACAUAAAAAAUUGGGGAUUUCAAUUGAAAAGGGUAGGGGGAGGAUCACAAGACAAGAAAAUACCAAAAAAUUGGAGCAUUGACCGUUGACCAUUGACCAAGCGGUUCGUCGAGGUUGGGAAUUUAAAAAGGCCCCCUGCGCUUCAUUUUUCACAUGUUAUCCUCCAUACCUUGAAGACUCUUCACAUCCAUGCUUCUAGAAGUCAAUUUUGGCAAGAUCUUGGACUGUUUGCAGGCUUUGGAGUGGAUUUUGAGACGUUUUGAGGCUAGGGUUUUGAUUUGAAACCCAGAGUUUCAGUUUUUGGGGGUGAUUUCUCUCUAUACCACGAACCUCAGGCUUGGUUCAACUUCUUCUCCGUGCGCCUAGGGCUUUAGGUUGGUGUUUUCUCUCUCUUGUUUGAUUUCCUUCUCCUUUUGGACUUCUCCUUCUCCCUAUUCCAUUCGUUGGAUGGCUCCUAGGCGAGAGACGGGCACCUCUAGGGCUCAAGGCAAGCGCCCUACUGAGCCAUCUCAGCCUGAGCAGACGGAGGCUCACCGAAAGGCGAGGUAUGAUACGACCCUCUUCAGUUCCGUUGAAGAUCUUAAUUAAGCAUAGCCUUUGUUUUCUCAGUAUCUUUGGAGGAGUCUUUUGAUGGCGGAUACCUUGCUAUUUGUGGUACUCAUCAAAUGACCUUGAAUAUUCUCCUCUAUUAUCAGUUCAGAUACAUUUAAGUUUUCUUCUAGUUUAUCUCUCAAUUGAAGCCUGAAAUUACUUGAACACACCCGAUACCUUAUCUUUAUGCUCAAUGUGUAUGCACAAAUCUUCUUUGAAUGAUCAUCAAUAAAAGUCACGAAGUAUAGUGAACCACCAAGGGUUUUUACCUUCAUUGGACCAUAUAAACUAGAAUGGACUAAGUCAAGCAAAUUCUCAUUUCUUGAAGAAGAAGGGCGUGUCUUGAACGCAACUCUAUUUUGCUUUCCUACCAAGCAAUGAGCACACUUUUGUAGACAUGUGUUUGUCAUCCCAAACAAGUGAUUUUUUCGGAAUAGUACCAUCAUUCAUUUCUCACCCAUGUGACCGAGUCUCUAGUACCACAACUCAAUUGUAUCCACAUUUUCAAUAGCAUGAAUGACAUCUUUAGAAAGUCCAACUUGCAUUAUGUACAAAUUAUGAUUCCUUUUACAUCUUGUUAUGACCAAAGAACCCUUAGUAAGCUUCCAUUGACCAUUACCAAGACCACUAUAGUAGCCACCAUCAUCAAGCUUGCUAGUAGAGGUAAGGUUCAACCAAAUGUCUGGAACAUGCUUUACACCUUUGAAAAGCAGUUUCAUACCAUUACGGGUUUCUAAUAAAAAAUUACCUAUGUCAAUAACCUUAGCCACACCAUUGUUGCCCAUCCUUACAACUCCAAAGUCAGAUGUGUAAAAAUCCCUACAAAAUGUAACAUGAAUAGUAGCACCACUAUCAAUUACCCAACUAGUCUCAUCAAAUGCUGAAUUGAUCAUAUCAUCAUCAUACAUUAGUAAAAAGUCUUCUAUAGUGGUGGCAACUCAAUCUUCAUCACUGCUCUUAUUGCCUUUUUCUUUCCUGUUGUUCUUCUUAUUUUCUUUCUUCAACUUUCUACAAUGUUUCUUGAUAUUCCCCUUCUUACCACAAUGGUAACACUCAACAUUAGCAAAUUUGCCUUUGGACUUAUUUCUACUACUUUCCCUGUUUUUCGGAAUCCUACUCUUGUUUCCCCCUCAUGGCUCAGUAACUAUCAUAUCUGACUAUGAGGAGGAACGAUGUGACUUUUUUCUCAUCUUUUCAUUUAGAACAUUGCUCUUAGCAAUUUCCAUUGUAAUCUCACCAUCUAGAGUUGAAUUAGACAAUGACAUUUUAAAUGUCUCCCAAUAAUCUGACAAAGUGCCCAAAAGCCAUAAACCCUAUACCUCUUCAUCAAAUUUUACCCCCAUUACAUCCAACUAAUUUAUCAAACCUUGGAAUGAAUUCAAGUUAUUGGUCAUAGGAGUAUCCUCACGAUAUCUCAAAAGAAUAAAAUAUUUCAUCAAAUACAUUUUGUUGUUUCUGGUCUUUUGAGCAUACAACUUUUCAAGUUUGAUCCACAAUGUACAUGCAUUCUUCUCACCACUAACAUGGUUUAACACACUGUCAUCUACCCAUUGUCGAAUAUACCAACACACCUGCCUAUAAAGUAAUGUACAUUCCUCAUCAGUUUUGCCAGUGGGUUUUCCUUGGACAAACAUAGGGUGAUGGUAACCCUUCUCAUAUAAUAAAUCCUCCAUUUUAUCCUUUCACAAGGCAUAAUUUGAGCCAUUUAAGCUUACCAUUCUGUUUGCACUAACAUCCAUUCUUCAACACAACACAGGCAGCCAAAGCUCUAAUACCACUUUGUUGGGAGAAAGUUGAACACAGUAUCACAAUUAAAAUCAACCAUGCAUGCACUGGAAUUUUAAUGUGGAAAACAUCUUCAAUGUGAGAAGUAAAAACCACAGGACCAGAGUCCACUCAGAAAGGGUUCACUAUCAACCUAAGUGAGAGUACACAAUUUGUCCCAACAUUAAUUGGGGACUAUCAAUAGCAACAACCAUCAAGAAAAAUCUUAGCUUCACAAGCAUAAACACCAAAUAUUAAAAGAAUAAUAGAAAAAGAUCACAAAUUUGGUGUUCUGUCCGAAUAUACUAAUCUGUCCUGAAAACUCCAAUCAACGAUCCAAUCGUUAAAAUUUAAUUACCAUAAGUUUUGAACCUCCUAUUAAAAUUUCACUUCAAUCAGACCAAAGAUCAAAGAAAUACCACUCUUUGAUGAAGACUGCAUAGAACCGAGAUUUUCUCCUCUCAUUUUCUGUCCUGUUUUAUUUGAAUGAUUAUAUAUUAUAGUCAACUACUCUGAUCGACGAGCGAACCGACCAGAAUUAAGAGACAUAAGAGACGAAGAUACUAUACAAAUUUCAACACGAUCCAACGGUGUAAAAUAGAGAUCAAGAAGAUUGAUUAAAAUUGCUCUAAAAUGAUUCUAUUUAUGACCAACUCUGUUUAGGCGGCUAUAGAGUGAAAUAGAAAAGUUCAACUAGAAUAAGGAGUUGCUUGUGAUAAACCAACUGACCAAGUUUCAGUUUAAACAAGCCUUAGACCAUCAAGAUCUAUUACUUGGAUGAAAAUAGCUCUUUCACCUCUUCAAUUUCUUAUUAUUUUUUUUUCUCUCUCAAAAUCAUCAGUUGCACUCUUCUCACUGUAUAUUUCAAGAAGUGAAUCUUUUUUGGGGUUUUCAAAAAAACCUUACACCGAAAGACAAAAAUGCCCAUAUAAUAUGGGAUUUGUUGGGUUUGACAUAUAUGGGUCAUCCUCCACAUGAGAGGGAAACCCAACCCAACAAUAGUUUAGUACCUCCUAAUUGGAAGGAUGACUUGUUUUUGUCAUCACGAUGAGUUUUCCAUGGUGAGUGCACUAAUGUAUAUGGUUACACAUUGGACAGGACCUAUGAUGAGUCAUGAUAUUGGCUAUCAAGUAGUCAUCAUCUUAUAAAGCUACUAUAUUGUAUGAGCUCUCAACCUUGAGAAGAUAUUAAGCUAGUAGUAAAAUUUUUAAUGACUUUAACAUAUAGGUAAGAUCCUAAAGUGGUAAUAUAUUCCCUAUGGAUUGAGAUAUUAUUGAUAGAGGUUGGUGAUAACAUGUAUACUCAAGAUAGACACCAUGAUAUCUCCUAGGUUUUAGAUAAUAUAUCCAUUUGAGUGAUCCUAAGGACAUGUGAUUAGGAAAUCCGUGGUCAUAGUAAUUCUUUAAUUGGAAUUUGACAUAUGCUUCUUAUGAAAUAAAGUAUGUCGAUUUAUCACAUAAGAAGAGGAUUAGAGACUCAAGGACUCUAAAGGAAAUUUUAUAAGGUAGAUAACAUUCACUUUAUUAGACUACGAUCAAUAGCUUAUGAGAAGUUUGCAUAUAGUAGACAAUGGAUCAUAGACUAGAGGUUUGUAUCUCAUAGUUAUAAUAUCAUACGAUAAUGGAGUAUAGUUAACUCUAUGUAGUAGGAUAUUAAGUCAAUUUUAGAAUUGAAAUAUGAGGUAGCCAGUAUUUUCUUAUGAGUCUUAGUGGUCCUCACUUAAAAUCAUAUUCCAUGGUGGCAUGAUUUUUUUAAGAGAUUAUGAGUUUUAUAUUCAUAUGUAUGCAUACAGACAUUUUGGUAGACACGAAACGUUGCACAAGAGUUUAUGAAUGUUUUUGGGUUGAGUUAAUUAAUUAAUUAGAACCCAAUUAAGUUAGUUAAUUAGGACUCAUUGGGCUAAAUUAAGUGACCCAACUCAAUUCACUUAAACUUAGAAGUAAUUCUAUAUAAACCUCCUUAAGUUUUAGGGCUUAUAUUUUGAUUCAUUCUAUCUUUCAGAAUGAGAGAAUCCCAUUCUUCAUUCCCAAGUGAGAAUUCCAUCAUUUUUAAGUGACAAGGUCUAGGAAAGAGCUAUUGGGUGGAAGAUCAUGAGGUUUUCGAGAUCCAUACCAUCAUUUUCUUUGAUUGGAACUAAUCUAGGCACAUCUAUUAGUUUAUUGGCCAUUGAAUCAACAAAGGACUAUAAUGCAAAAUUGUUUCAUGCAGUACCUUAAAAUAAUUAUGAAGGGCUGUAAAAAAAUUGAACCAAUGGUUGUUACUUUCUACAAACAAUAUAAGGCGUAAAAACCUAAAGCUUAGUUGAUUUUGUGAGAGCCAACUAGUCCAAAAGAUCAGUUAUAGCGGAAUAGAACUCUUGAAUACUCAUGUUCUUAUGUUCAAGAGCUCAAAUAUCAAUCUUUAAAUAAUAUUGAUUUGCAAAUGUUGCUAGAUCUUGUUGACAAAUUCAUACUUUGCCAACUACGUACUUAUCAAAUUCUCAAUAAAUUUGUUGAUCCAAUUGAUAAUUUUUGAAUUGUUUACUGCUCAAAUGUUUAACUGUUCUAUAUAUUUUUCAUCAUCUCCAUUUCUAGGUUUGUGUAGAGUUAACCCCACAUCUUUUUUACCUUUGAAAAAUUUCCCAUUGCAUAACUCCAAUGUUAGGAUAGAGCCCUUAAAAGCAUAGUAUGAUAUAACAAAUUCAAAUUUAUUAUUCAUUUAAUAAAAUUUUAGUUUCCUAUUUCUAUCUAUCUUAUUACAUGCAUUAUAACUUAUAACCAUUUUAGCCUAACAUUUUUUGCAUUGUACAUACUUUGGGUGCAUUAGGAGUUACACAGAAGAUCCAAGUCAUGAGUUGCUUGCAAGUAGAUGAUUUGUUCACAACUAGUUCAUAGAAUUAGGUAAUUCAUUGAAAGUUGUAGUACACUACCUACUAAUGGAAUGGAUGACUAGUCUUGGUCAUUUGGGAUGAGUUUCCCAUGUUAAGUCCAUUAGUUUGUACAAUUCAACAUUAAAUAAGGCCCAUAGUGAGUUAUGAUGUAAAGUUAUUGAGUAGUCAUGACCUCACCAAGCUGCUAUACUAUAUGGUCUUUUAACCUCGAGAGAAUAUUUAGUUUGUGCCAAAGUUUAUAAUAGCUUUGACCUAUAAGUGAGAUCCUAAGAUGGUCAUAUAUUCCCUAUAAAUUAGGUCAUUAUUGAUGGAGGCUAGUGACGGCCGGUAUUCUCAAUAGAGAUACCAUGAUAUCUUAUGGAGAUUGAGACAAUAUGUCCCAUUAGGUGAGCCUAAGGAAGUCUUGAUAAGGAAAUUAAUGGUCAUAAUAGUUUUUUAAAUUAGAACUUGACAUAUGCUCUUUAUGAGAUAAGAUAUGUCACUUCAUCUCAAAAUAAGAGAAUCUGAGACUCAAGAAUCAUAAAGGUAAUCUUGAAAGGUUGAUAACAUUCAUCUUGUUAGAUUAUGGACACUAUUUCAUGGGGAACUUGCAUACAAUGGAUAGUAGGUGUUAAUGGAAACCCUAGAUUUCUUCGUUCGUAAACCCUAGAUCGUAUAGGUAUAUGCAAAUCUACCUAGGCUUCUCUAGAAACUAACAUAAGUGGAAACAUGGCUUUUAAAAACCAUUUAGAUUAAUAAAACUAGAGAAGAAUGAAUUAUACCUAGAUUUAGAUGUUCCUAGAUCAAUUCAUUGCGAUGAAGAUGUUUCAAUGUUCUAGAGGUCUUGUACACCCAAAGUCUUCUGUCUAAUUACUCAAUCCAUGACCUUGGCACUCUAAAGAGUGGACUUUGAAAAAGAGAUGCCUUGGCUCUCUCUCUUUCUCUCUAUUUCUCUCUGGAAGUGGAAGACGACAAGCAAAAGCCUUAGAAACCCUAACCCCUAAGGGGAUAUGUAUAGGGUUCCCCUACUAGGCUUAAGUGACUUGAGCCUACCAAGGAUUAGGUCACUUAAUCUAGCCCAAAAUAGAUCUUGAUUUAUUAAUCAACCACACAGGGUCAUCUAAUUAAUCAAUUAGCUCAAUGAAGAGAACUUGUUCUCUAUUCCCCUAUGCAACCUUGCGUGAUUGCUAAAACACCUUUAUACACAUCUAAUCCUUAGAAAUCGUGUCAUCAUGGUAUAUGAGCUCAAAGUGAGGACUACUGGGACAAAUAGGCAUACUAACUCUCUCAAAAUCGAAUUCCAAAGUUGAUUCACUAUCCCACUAUAGAAAAUCAAUUGCACUCCAGUACCUUAUGUAGAUAACAAUAAGAUGAAGUUUGGGUCUGUGACCUACUAUCUACUACAUGCAAUCUCUUCAUGAAUUGGUGUCCAUAAUCUAACAAGGUGGUGUUAUCACAUAAUGUAUGAUAAGAAAUAUGAAUUUGUUACAUUAGAUAAUAACAUAAUGUAUCCUGGUAGGAAAUAUGAAUUUUAAAAAUGCAUCCUCUAUAUUAAGGUAAAGUUAAUUUUUUUAAACAUAAAAUAAUAUAUUUAUAACAAAGUUAGUAAUAUGGAUGAGAUAUAAAUUAGUAUUGGUAUCAAGUAUUUCAAUAUGUAAACCUAAAACAUAUUACAUUUAUAAUAUUAUUGAAAUUUUACCCAUAAUAUAUCUUUAUUAAAAAAGUCAAUCUAAAAUUUUUCAAAUUUUUAUUACUCAACUAUAUCCAUAUAAUUUUCUAUUAGAAUCAUCUAAAAUUUCUUUAAUAUCUUUAUAUUCAUUUACUUGAAAAAUGAAAAAUAACCAAUAAAAUUGUUCAUUUUAUUAAGAUAUUUUUAUUAAAUUUUGUUAAAAAAAAAAUAAAUCAUUCAAAAUUUUAAAUAAGAUUUCAUGUGAAAUAUUUUAUUUGAAAGUUUAUUUGGUUUCAUUAACAAAUUUAUUUGAUAUUUUUUUUAUUGUAAAUAUAUUAAAUUAUUAAAAUUAUAGUAUUUGUCCUAUAAAAUUAGGGUUGCAAUUUGGACGAGCUAACCCAAACCAACAUAAAACCAACCCAAUGUUUGGGCGGGCUUGGGCACCAUUUUUUGUAACUUGGGUUGGGCUUGGAUUCAUUUUUAUCAACCCAAAUUAAAUUCGGGUUGGGCUUGGUCAGAUGACUUGGGCAACCCAAACUAACCCGAACCUGACUAUAUAUAUAACUUUAAGAAAAUAAUACAUUGGUUCUUUCCAUUCUAUUCUUUGAUAGAGAAAAAACCUUCAAGCCCUAGUCCAAGGUUCUUCCAUUAUUCGAUAUUGUUCAAAUCCUCAAGCCCUAGUUCAAGAUUCUUUCAUUUUUUGAUGUUGUUGUCUCCAUUCAAGGUCAUCUGACAGAAAGCAAAAACCAUCAGGCCUUAGGUUAAGAUUCUUCAUCAUCAUAUAAUGUUACAAUCGUCGUUCAAUACCACUGUUGUUCACAUUAUAUUACUAGGUUUUUGAUUGCCAACAAUUUAGUUAAUAAAUCAUGGAAAUAAUGGAAAAGGUUGAUUUGAAAAUAAUUCUAAGAUAUCCCUUUUUGGUUUUAAAUUUAUCUUCCUUGAGUGAUGAAUAAAGAGGACAAGGCAAGUUAUUUAAGGCAAUGGUGAAGCCCUUAUCCUUUAUAUGGAAGAAGUGUAGAAUUGUUACCUAUACAUAAAUUAUAUUAUAAUGGUCUACUGUAAUAUGCUUGGCUUAGCAUCCCUCAUCAGGGGCAUGCCAUGGGAGAAAAGUCUUCCUUUUGUAAAAGAAGGGUUGUGCAAUAAAUGAAUGUUGUGUGUUUGCUUUUUGAACUAAUUUUUAUUGGCCUAACUCAACCCAACUUAGCCAUCACAUAAUCAACUCGAGCUCAACCUAUGUUAAAUAAUUUCAAUUCGAGUUGAGUGCAUAAGAUUGGAAGUCGAGUUAGGUGAUCCUUUGGGUUGAUGUAUUUCAAGGUAAGAUUGAGCUUGGGUUGGCCAACUUGCCGAGUUGCAACCCCAUAUAAAAUUAAUUUUUCUUUAACAUUUAUAUUUUAUGAAAUAUUAAAAAUUAUAUAUUUUAUUAAUUGUUUUCCAAAAAUCGCAAUUUUGGUGAUUUAGGUCUUGUUUGGUAAUUGUUUUUGAAAACAUUUUUGAAAAAAUAGUUUUUAAGAACAGUUUUUGAAAACUGUUCUCUGAUGUUUUUUAGAACAAAAGUCUAUUUGGGAACCUAAAAUUAUUUUUAAUAUUUUUAAAUACGUUUUAAAAAUAAUUUUUAUAUCCAUAACUUUAUUUUUAUUAAUCAUUAUAUAUAUAUUUGUAUAAUUAUUCUUUAAAAUAACUCUCAAAAAAUAAGUGAAAACAACUUAAAACAAUUAAAAUAUAUUAUUUGAAAACACCCUGUUUUCUAUUUUUUAAUAAUAUAAAACAGAAAACAGUUUUUAAUUGUUAAACGUGUUUUUAAGUUUUUUUUUUCUAAAAAACAAAAAACUGUUUUUGAAAACAGUUUCCAAACAUAGCAUUAAUGCAAAGCCAGCCAAUUUUUUGUGCUGCCAACCAUACUGGAAACCCAUCUUGUUGGCCACCCAGAGGAGCUCAGUUUUUUUUAUUUUUAUUUGUUAGAGGAGUGGGGGACGAUUUCUAUGAACGAGCUACAUGGGACAUGUGGAAAAAAAAAAAAAAAGAUGGCCACCUUGCCAUGGUGGUGGUUGAAGAUGGAGACUUGCUAAGCGGUGAACAGUGGAACGAGUAGAAGCUUAUAAGAGAAAAAAAAAAACAGAGCAAAGGGACUGGGAGGGUUGAGUUGUGGGUGAGCUGAUUCAAGAGGAAGGAAAAAAAAUGAAGCUGAAACAAAGGGAGGUUUUUAAGAGAAAGUGAAAACAACGAGUUAAUUUGGAAACAACUAGGAUGAGAGUUGUAGGUCGGCUGAUUAGAGGAGGUUUUCAGCAAGAGCUAAAGAAGAGGACCUUUAAACUCUACCGGAAAAGUUCUCUCGUCUCACCGGUGACUACGGAUCUGGAAAACUAAAAUGCGCAGGUGGUGGCGUUGCUCCCCCUACUAUACUUACGGAUUUUAAGCUCAAUGGCUACGGAAACCUCGAUUUCUACAACGUGUGCUUGGUUGACGGGUAAAACCUUCCUUUGAUGGUGGUGCCACAGGAUGGCACCGGGGGGAACUGUACCAAAAUCGGGUGCUGCUCUAGACUUGGGAAAUGAACAGGUUUGUUCGUUUGUCUCGUUACAACUUCUUUCUGAAUCUUUCUUUGAUUAAGACAAGUAUGUUUUUCCAAGUUUUGGUUUUUGCUCUCAAAAAGGGUCUUUUUGAUGAUUCUACUGUUUUUUUUAGGAGUUGAAAUGGGUUUUUGAUGAAUUCAAGUGGGCGUCUUUUGUUUGUUAAUGGAACGGUUUUGUUUUUGGUGGUCAAAACAUUUUUUUUUUAUAAUGAUUUUGUAGUCAUUUUAAGGAGCUGUGAAAUGGGUGUUUGAUGAAUUCAACUGGGUUUCUUUUACUUGAUGAAAUGCCACCAUCCGUGGGGUUUGGUUAUGUAAACAUGAAUUUUUUUUUUUUUUUUAUGAUUUUGAAAGUGAUUUUAAGGAGCUGUGAAACGGGUAUUUGAUGUGUUGAACUGGGUCUAUCCUAUUUGCUAAUGGAAUAGGUUUUAGUUUCUGAACUUGGAACAUGAAUUUUUUUAUUUUUUAUAUGAUUCCGUGUAUAUUUUGAUGAGCUUGACAUUUUGUAUGAUGAAUUGAACUCAGUUUUGACUAAAUGGGAUAGGUCUUGGAUUAUGGUUCAUGGUUUAUUUUGAUGAUUUAUUGAACCGGAUUUCCUCUGUUUUGGGACCCACUCCACUCCUGCAUGGCCAUUUUUGACAUGCAAUUCCAUCGAACACGUGUCAUCCUCUUUGAUUUUUCAUCCUCAUAUGUUAAAAUAUGAUUUUCAAAACUCCAAUUUUCACGUUUAAUUUUUAAAACUUUAAUUUUUAAAAUUCCAUUUUUUUUUAAUUUAAUCUUCAAAACUCUAAUUUUCAAAUAAUCUUCAAAGUUCCAAUCAUCGAAAUUUAAUUUUUAGAACUUCAAUUUUCAAAUAAUUCUCCAAAAUUCCAAUUUUCAAAAUUUCCAUUUUCAAAAAUAAUUUUCCAAAAUUCUAAUUUUCAAAAAUUCUAAUUUUUCAAAAUUUCAAUUUUCAAAAAUUCUAAUUUUUCAAAAUUUCAAUUUUCAAAACUUACAUUUUCAAAAAUAAUUUUCCAAAAUUCCAAUUUUCAAAACUUCCAUUUUCAAAUAAUUUUCCAAAAUUCAAGUUUUCAAAUUUAAUUAUUAAGAAAUCCCAUUCUCAAAUAAUUCUCCAAAAUUCCAAUUUUCAAAAUUUCCAUUUUCAAAUAAUUUUCUAAAAUUCCAUUCUAAAACAAUUCUCCAAAUUUCCAAUUUUCAAAACUUGAAUCAUUUUCUAAAAUUCCCAUUUUCAAAUUUAAUUCCCAUAAUUUCCAUUCUCAAAUAAUUUUUCAAAAUUCCAAUUCUCAAAUUUAAUUUUUGAAACUCCCAUUUUUCGAAUAAUUUUUCAAAUUUUCAUUUUUUUUAAAUUUAAUUUUUAAAAUUUCAAUUUUCAAAACCCUAGUUUUCUUUCAAAUAGUUUUAAUCCCACUUCAGUUUUCAAAUAUUUUUAAUUUUACAACUUUUCAUCAUUCAUUAGGGUUUUAAGUCACUAAAAAUCAUAUUUUUAAAUAAACUUGCUACUUUUCCUUUCAGGUAAGCACUUUCACAAAUUUUCUUUGUUUUUAAAAUAAUAUUUUGUUUCUCUUAAUUUUAAAUAAACAUGAAGGCAAUUUUCAUAAUUUCAAAAUAAUGGAAUUUAUGGAAUUAAUUCAUGCAAAAUAAUUGGGCUUUGGUGGGAGCCUAACAUUCAUGACAUUUCUUUCAAAAAUAAUUCAAGUGAAUUGCAUUAUCGAUAUUGUUUGAUUUUGAUUGGUUUUGUGUGAGAUAUUUUACACUUAAUAUUGUGCACUAAUUCUGUUUCAUGAUAGCGCUUUAUUACCUCUAGUCAAGGUACGCUCUCACUCUCAUUUUGUUUAUUUAUUCGUUAUCAUAACUUGCUUUUGAUCUAUUAUCUUUUUGGUAUUCAUUGAUUUUUCUAGUUAAUUGUCAUGUUUGCUUCACCUUAUUUAGUAGAGACCCAUUUUUCAGGGGCUUAGAGGGGUGCUACGGUCUUUACCGUACUUUUCCAAUAAGUAACCUAACCCUCGAAUCCGACUUUGGUCUUCCACAAACUAUCUUUUCCAAAUAAGGAGUCACACUUAGAGUUUUCUUUCUUAUUUUGUUUUCCCUUAAAAAUAAAAUAAAAAUAAGUGGUGACUCCAAGUAUUUUCUAAAAAUCAUUUUUUUUUUCAAAUAAAAAAAGCGAGUUUUGCCAUCAAGUGGAAACACAUCUUGCGAAAAUGUGGGGUCCACAUAUCCCCUUCCAUUCCUUCAUACCCAAUGAAAUCUAAAUAAAUCGCCAGCCUAUUUUUUCAUUCUUGCUUCCAACCUCUUUUUUAAUAUUUAAAAUUGAUAAUAUAAAAUCUCUGCACAUGAUAUUGCCCACUUUGUCAUGGAAUUGAGAACAAUGAUAAAUCACAAUUUUCACACAAAUGAAAGUCUGUAUACUUUUUUUUUUUUUUUUUUGUAAGGAAUAAUAUUGUGUAAGGAACCAUUAAUGUAAACAUAUUGAAGGAAAAACAUAAAAAAUAAAACAAAUAUCACAAAAGAUAUAUAGGUUUAUCUCCACUUUGAACCAUGAAUUCUUUUGAUCUACUAGAUGUUUUUCACUUUAGGUGUUUCUUACUCCUCUCAUAAUUUUUUCCUUUCAUAAUUUAGAAUAUUUAUAGAAAUAUUUCCACUGACUUUCCUUAUUCUAUAACGAAUUUAAUUACAAUCACCUAAAAUUAGAAAAUAUUCAUAACUUUAUGAUAUUCUAAAUAGGAAUUUAAGACACCUUCCUAACACAUAAUCAUUUAAAUUUAUUUUUUUCACACAUUAUACAUUUUAAUUUUUCAAUAACAAUUUCCACACAAAUAAUUAUUUUUAGAUUUUUCUUUUUAAAUUUUAACAACAUUAAUAAUUUAAUAUUUCAUCCAAAUAAAAAAUAGUGAAAUUAAGAAAAAUUAAAAGAAAGAUAAAUAAAUAAACUAGUCACAUAAUAUAUAAUAGUUUUUCAUAAAAAUUGUGAAUUAAUAAUCCAACCAGAGCUCUGGGCCCACAUGUUAUAUAUACUGAGAAUCCACAUGUUAUAAUGAGAAAAAAAAAUGGAUUUAAAAUUUAAAAUUAUUUGAACAUGUUUCUUCUAACUCGUUGUAUAUAUUUUCCUUAUUUAUAUAAAGAUUAAUUAUUUUAAUUAAUUUUGAUAAUAUUUGAUUUUGUUUUUCAAUGAUAAACGAAAUAUGAUCAAAUGAAUAAACCACUGAAGUAUACUAUGCAUUUUAUAUAAAGUUUUUUUAUAUUAGUACCCAUGUGAACUGAUCAUAAGAAACUGGGUACCAUCAAAACUGUACAUCUGGAUACUGAGGAUCAGCAGAACAGAUGUAAUAAAUGUUCAUAUUUUCUAUAAUGUCACAUGGGACUUAGGAUGGUUCUUGGUAGAUAAGUUAAUUGACUUGGAAUCUUAACCUAAUCUAUAAUUUAAAAAAUGGAUAAAUUAAUUAAUUUAAGAAUAGUAACGGUCCAUAUUUUGUCAGGCCACAUGGGAGUUAGAAUAGUUUAAAGUGAACAUGUGACCUGAUGUAUAAUAUAAAGUGGAAAACUUGUCCAUCGAAUCCAUAAAUUAUAUUAUAAUGGUCUACUGUAAUAUGCUUGACUUGGCAUCCCUUAUAGGGCUAUGCCAUGGGAGAAAAGUCUUCCCUUUGUAAAAGAAGGGUUGUGCAACAAAUGAAUGUUGUGUCUUUGCUUUUUGAACUGAUUUUUAUUGGCCCAACCCGACCUAACUCAGCCAUCAUAUAAUCAAUUUGAGCUCAACCUAAGUUAAAUAAUUUCAAUUCGAGUUGAGUACAUCAGAUUGGAAGUCAGGUUGGGUCAUCCUUUAGGUUGAUGUAUUUCAAGGUCGCACUGAGCUUGGGUUGGCCAACUUGCCGAGUUGCAACCCUAUAUAAAUUGUUUUACAAAAAUCGCAAUUUUGACGAUUUAUACUUUAUUUGAUAACUGUUUUUAAAAACAUUUUUAAAAAAAUAGUUUUUAAGAACAGUUUUAAAAAAUUGUUCUAUGAUAUUUUUUAAAACAAAAGUUUAUUUGGAAACUUAAAAUUGUUUUUAAUCUAUUUUUAAUAUUUUUCAAUGUGUUUUAAAAAUUUUUUUUAUAUCCAUAGCUUUAUUUUUAAUCAUUAGAUAUAUAUAUAUGUAUAUAUAUAUAUAUAUAUAUAUAUAUAUAAUUUUUAAAAAUAACUCUAAAAAAAAAAUUGAAAAUAAUUAAAAGAUAUUAUCUAAAAACACCAUAUUUUUUAUUUUUUAUUAUCUAUUUUCUAAUAAUAGAAAAUAGAAAAUGGUUUUUUAUUAUUAAAUGAAUUUUAAAAUUCUUUUAUUCUAAAAACCAAAAAUUGUUCUUGAAAACAAUUGCAGGGCAUUAAUGCAAAGUCCAAGGCAUUAAUGCAAAGUCGCCCAACCAUCCCCUUCCAUUCCUUCAUACCUAAUGAAAUCCAAAUAAAUCACCCUUUUUUCAUUCAUGCUUCCAACGUCUUUUCUAAUAUUUAAAAUUGAUAAAUAUAAAAUCUCUCCAUAUGAUAUUGCCCACUUUGUCAUAGAAUUGAGAAUAAUGAUAAAUCACAAUUUUCACACAAAUGAAAGUUGUAUACUUUUUUUUUAUAAGGAAUAAUAUUGUGUAAGGAAGUAUUAAUAUAAACAUAUUAAAGGAAAAACACGAAAAAUAAAACAAAUCAUAUAAAAGAUAUAUAAGGUUUAUCUUCACUUUGAAUCAUGAAUCCUUUCGAUCUAUUAGAUGUUUUCACUUUGGGUGUUUUUUUCUCCUCUCAUAAUUUUUUUUCUUUAUAAUUUAGAAUAUUUAUAAAGAUAUUUAUACUAAUUUUCCUUAUUUUAUAAGAAAUUUAAUUACAAUCACAUCUAAAGUUAGAAAAUAUUCAUAACUUUAUGAUAUUCUAAAUAGGAAUUUAAGACACCUUCCUAACAAAUAAUUAUUUAAAUUUAUUUUUUUCACACAUUAUACAUUUCAAAUUUUCAAUAAAAAUUUCCACAUAAAUAAUUAUUUUUAGAUUUCUCUUUUUAAAUUUUAACAACAUUAAUAAUUGAAUAUUUCAUCCAAAUAAAAAAUAGUGAAAUUAAGAAAAAUUAAAAUAAAGAUAAAUAAAUAAAUUAGUCUCAUAAAUAUAUAAUAAUUUUUCAUAAAAAAUUAUGAAUUAAUAAUCCAACCAAAGCUCUGGGCCCAUAUGUUAUAUAUAUUGAGAAUCCAUAUGUUAUAAUGAGAAAUAAAAAAUAAAAAAAUGGAUUUAAAAUUUAAAAUUAUUUCAACAUGUUUCUUCAAACUCAUUGUAUAUAUUUUCCUUAUUUAUAUAAAGAUUAAAUAAUUCAAAAAUAUACAAGUAUUUUAAUUAGUUUUGAUAAUAUUUGAUUUUGUUUUACAAUAAUAAACGAAAUAUGCUCAAAUGAAUGAACCAUUGAAGCAUACUAUGCAUUUUAUAUAAAGUUUUUUUAUAUUAGUACCCAUGUGAACUGAUUAUAAGAAACUGGGGACUAUCAAAACUGUACAUCUGGAUACUGAGGAUCAGCAGAACAGAUAUAAUAAAAAAUGUUCAUAUUUUCUAUAGUGUCACAUGGGACUUAGAAUGGUUCUUGGUACAUACGUUAAUUGAUUUGGAAUCUUAAUUAACCUAAUCUAUAAUUAAAAAAUGGAUAAAUUAAUUAAUUUAAGAAUAGUAACGGUCCAUUUUUUGUCGGGCCACAUGUAGCCCUUACCUGAUAUAUAAUAUAAAGUGGACAAGUUGGAGCAUGCUUCCCAGAGUGAUUUAAAAAUUGUUGAAAAUUAAUGUAGAUGGCACCACAUUUUAUAUUAUUGAAUACAUCCACAACCUUUAAUUACAACUGGCAUGGCCUGGCAUGACUUGUCCACGGAAUCCAUAUUAUUAAUCAAUACCCAUGUGACCUGGCCUAUCCCAUCCACCAUAAAGAUAUCUCUUACUUUGUUCUCUAUUCUCUCACAAUUCCCUCAGCUUCUCAUCCUGUACGUGCUGUAUUUUCUUGGCUUUCUGCUACUUUGAGUUGUUCCGAAAUGGCUGAUCAAAUUCCAUUCGGUGUUGUGGAGCACAUUUUGACCAAGUUGGGGUCCAAGGCGUUUCAAGAAAUUGGAUCCAUGUAUGGUGUUCCAAAGGAGAUGACCAAGCUCAAUGGGAAACUGGGCACCAUCAAGGCUGUGCUUUUGGAUGCUGAGGAGAAGCAGCAACAGCAGAGCAAUCGUGCAGUCAAAGAUUGGGUCCGGAGGUUCAGAGGUGUUGUUUAUGACGCAGAUGACUUGGUGGAUGACUAUGCAACCCAUUAUCUUCAGCGAGGAGGAUUGGGAAGGCAGGUCAGUGACUUCUUCUCAUCUGAAAAUCAAGUUGCUUUUCGUUUAAACAUGAGUCAUAGACUCGAAGAUAUCAAAGAAAGGAUAGAUGAUAUUGCAAAAGAAAUCCCCAUGUUAAAUCUGACUCCACGGGACAUAGUACUACACACACGGGUGGAGAAUAGUGGGAGAGACACCCAUUCAUUCGUGUUAAAAUCUGAAAUGGUAGGAAGAGAAGAAAACAAAGAGGAGAUAAUAGGGAAGUUAUUGUCGUCCAAGGGUGAAGAAAAGCUUUCGGUUGUUGCCAUUGUAGGCAUUGGGGGGUUGGGUAAGACCACCCUUGCUCAAUUGGUAUACAAUGAUGAAAGAGUGGUCAAUCAUUUUGAGUUUAAGAUAUGGGCUUGCAUUUCUGAUGAUUCUGGUGAUGGUUUUGAUGUUAAUAUGUGGAUCAAAAAAAUUUUAAAAUCUCUGAAUGAUGGGGGUGCUGAAAGUCUGGAGACUAUGAAAACUAAGCUUCAUGAAAAAAUAAGUCAAAAGAGGUACUUGCUAGUCCUCGAUGAUGUUUGGAAUCAAAAUCCUCAACAAUGGGAUCACGUGAGAACUUUAUUAAUGGUUGGUGCUAUAGGUAGUAAAAUUGUAGUAACCACCAGAAAACCUAGAGUUGCAUCACUCAUGGGAGAUUAUUUUCCAAUUAAUUUGAAAGGUCUUGAUGAAAACGAUUCUUGGAGGUUGUUUUCAAAAAUCACAUUUAAAGAUGGAGAGAAGGAUGUGCAUACAAACAUCACCCAAAUUGGAAAAGAAAUUGCAAAAAUGUGUAAGGGAGUUCCUCUCAUUAUUAAGUCUUUAGCAAUGAUAUUGCGGUCUAAAAGAGAACCGGGGCAGUGGUUGUCUAUUAGAAACAAUAAAAAUUUGCUGUCACUCGGAGAUGAAAAUGAGAAUGUUGUAGGGGUGCUGAAAUUAAGUUAUGAUAAUUUGCCAACUCAUUUGAGACAAUGUUUUACAUAUUGUGCUUUAUUUCCAAAAGACUAUGAGAUUGAGAAAAAGUUGGUGGUACAACUAUGGAUAGCACAAGGUUAUAUUCAAUCUUCAAAUGAUAAUAAUGAGCAAUUAGAGGAUAUAGGGGAUCAAUAUUUUGAGGAAUUAUUGUCAAGGUCAUUGUUGGAAGAGGUUGAAGAUGAUUUUGCUAAUACAGUAAUGUAUAAAAUGCAUGACCUUAUACAUGAUCUUGCACAAUCAAUUGUAGGAUCUGAGAUCCUUGUUUUAAGAAGUGAUGUAAAUAAUAUUCCAAAAGAAGCUCAUCAUGUAUCAUUGUUUGAAGAGAUAAAUCUUAUGAUCAAGGCUCUAAAGGGAAAACCCAUAAGAACCUUUCUUUGUAAAUAUUCUUAUGAAGAUAGUACAAUUGUAAAUUCAUUUUUUUCGAGUUUUAUGUGUCUACGUGCGUUGAGUUUAGAUGAUAUGGAUAUAGAGAAGGUGCCAAAGUGUUUAAGUAAAUUGAGUCAUUUAAGGUAUCUUGAUCUUUCCUACAACAAUUUCGAGGUACUUCCAAAUGCUAUUACAAGGUUAAAGAAUUUGCAAACACUAAAACUCACAAGCUGUCGAAGAUUAAAAAGAAUUCCAGACAAUACAGGAGAAUUGAUCAAUCUUAGACACUUGGAGAAUGAUAGCUGUUAUAACUUGGCUCAUAUGCCACAUGGAAUCGGCAAGUUGACUUUACUUCAAAGUCUACCAUUGUUUGUGGUUGGGAAUGACAUAGGGUUAAGGAAUCACAAAAUUGGUAGCUUGAGUGAAUUGAAAGGCCUUAACCAACUAAGAGGAGGGUUAUGCAUAAGUAAUCUUCAAAACGUGAGGGAUGUUGAACUGGUAUCCAGGGGGGGAAUUUUGAAAGAAAAACAAUAUCUUCAGUCCUUGAGAUUGGAAUGGAAUCGGUGGGGCCAAGAUGGGGGGGAUGAGGGUGAUCAGUCAGUGAUGGAAGGCCUUCAACCACACCAACAUCUAAAGGAUAUCUUUAUAGACGGGUAUGGAGGUACGGAGUUUCCAAGUUGGAUGAUGAAUAGCCUGCUUCCUAACCUAAUUAAAAUUGAAAUUUGGGGAUGUUCAAGAUGCAAAAUUCUGCCACCCUUUUCUCAACUCCCUUCUCUCAAGUCUUUGGGGCUUCAUGAUAUGAAAGAAGUGGUGGAGUUAAAGGAGGGUUCAUUAACAACGCCACUCUUCCCAUCUCUUGAAUCGCUCGAACUCUCUUUCAUGCCAAAGUUGAAGGAAUUGUGGAGGAUGGACUUACUAGCAGAGGAAGGUCCUUCCUUUUCUCAUCUUUCUCAAUUAAAGAUCAGUUAUUGCCAUAACUUGGCAUCCUUGGAACUGCAUUCUUCUCCUUCUCUUUCUCAAUUAGAGAUCCAUUAUUGCCCAAACUUGACAUCCUUGGAACUGCCGUCAUCUCUUUGUCUUUCUAAUUUAUAUAUCGGAUAUUGCCCUAACUUGGCAUCCUUGGAACUGCAUUCUUCUCCUUGUCUUUCUCGAUUAGAAAUCAGGGAAUGCCCUAACUUGGCAUCCUUCAAAGUGGCUCCAUUACCUUAUCUUGAGACACUAUCUCUGUUCACAGUUAGAUAUGGUGUGAUAUGGCAGAUAAUGUCUGUCUCUGCUUCAUUGAAGUUUCUGUAUAUUGAAAGCAUAGAUGAUAUGAUAUCUCUCCCGAAGGAGCUACUUCAACAUGUUUCUGGCUUGGUAACGUUACAGAUCCGUGAGUGUCCUAACUUGCAAUCCUUGGAACUGCCCUCAUCUCCUUCUCUUUCUGAAUUAAGGAUCAUAAAUUGCCCUAACUUGGCAUCCUUCAAUGUGGCAUCAUUACCUCGUCUUGAGAAACUAAGCCUGCGUGGAGUCAGAGCAGAGGUACUGAGGCAGUUAAUAUUUGUCUCUGCUUCUUCUUCAUUGAAGUCUCUGCGUAUACGGGAGAUUGAUGGUAUGAUAUCUCUCCCAGAGGAGCCGCUUCAAUAUGUUUCCACUCUCGAAACUCUCUACAUUGUUAAGUGCUCUGGUUUGGCAACAUUACUACACUGGAUGGGCAGCCUUUCCUCGCUUACGGAACUUAUUAUUUAUGACUGCUCUGAAUUGACAUCACUGCCAGAAGAGAUCUGUUCCCUUAAAAAACUGCAGAAAUUUUAUUUCUGUGAUUAUCCACACCUAGAGAAAAGAUACAACAAGGAAACAGGUAAAGACCGGGCCAAGAUUGAUCAUAUCCCACGUAUUAAUUUCCAAAGUGAUCGAGUUAUGGAAUAUAAGGUCCGAAAUCCCUAACCUUUCUUCCCAUUUUUAUUAUUUAAGAAUCAAAAUGCUAUGUUUUCAUUUUAUUAUUAUGUUUUCACUGUAUCCUUGGCACCUCAUAUGUUUGUUUUUACUGCUCACAUUAAUAAUUUUGAAAUUUUUUUCCAGCUUGGAUGUGCUUUCCGAUGAUGUGCACUAAACUAACCAUUUUACUUGGAGUUGUACAUUCUAAGAGUUUGAGGAAAUACUGAGGUCUGAUAUGAUAACUCUAAAUCUUAAACGUUGUUUUGUGUUUGGAACGUUACUACACUUGAUACAUACCCUCACCUCACUUACAGAGCUUGGAAAUCGUGGCUGCCUUGAAUCGACGUCACUGUCAGAAUAUAUGUUCCCUCAAAAACCUGCAGACACUAAAUAAUCUGCAUCUGUUCACAGAAAGAUGCUGAAAGGAAAGGUGAAGACCAACCCAAGAUUGCUCAUAUGCCACAAAUUGAUAUCAUACAUCCAUGAAGAUUGAACUGAUACACAAUGCCUUUCAGGUCCGAAAUCCCUAACUUUUCUUCUCAUUUUCUAUGACUUCAUUUUCAUUAUCUUACUUUUAAAAUGCUCUGUUUUCAUUUGUUUUGGUAGUUCUUUGUAUUUGUGCCUUGUUUGAUUAAAUGCUUACUUCAAUUAAGUUUGAAAAUUUUUACAUCUUCAAAUUAUUUUAUUGUAAGUGUUUUGCAUUCUAAGAAUUUGAGGAAAUACUGAGCUCUAAUAUAACUAGUAGAGUCCACCAUUCCUAAGAAGCUUACCAUUGCCUAAUGCCCAAAGGAUCCCGAAAGGAGACAACUUUGGAUUGGCUUGAAGAUUUCACAUGGUCCAAAAAUUUGUAUUUACUAGACGCCUGAUACAAAAAGUAGUUUAAAUUUAGCCAUUAAUAAUAUAACUUUUUUAUUAGAGAAAUAAUUGCCAAACAAAUGCAAAAUAGAAAAUGGUGUUAAUGAAUUCAGUACUUCAUCUAUGUUGCAGUUUAGUAGCUUUUGUUAGAUAACGAGUAUGGGGUUGGGUUUAUCUGGUUACCAUUCCAAAUAUUCUUAAAAAAAUCAUCAAGGCUUUGUUUGGUUUCUUGAAAAUUUGAGGGAAAAAAUAGAGAGAAAAAGUGGAAGGAAAAAAAAAAGUGGAAGUCAAUAACUUGGCAUCCUUGGAACUGCAUUCUUCUCCUUGUCUUUCUCGAUUAGAAAUCAGGGAAUGCCCUAACUUGGCAUCCUUCAAAGUGGCUCCAUUACCUUAUCUUGAGACACUAUCUCUGUUCACAGUUAGAUAUGGUGUGAUAUGGCAGAUAAUGUCUGUCUCUGCUUCGUUGAAGUCUCUGUAUAUUGGAAGCAUAGAUGAUAUGAUAUCUCUCCAGAAGGAUCUACUUCAACAUGUUUCUGGCUUGGUAACGUUACAGAUCCGUGAGUGUCCUAACUUGCAAUCCUUGGAACUGCCCUCAUCUCCUUCUCUUUCUGAAUUAAGGAUCAUAAAUUGCCCUAACUUGGCAUCCUUCAAUGUGGCAUCAUUACCUCGUCUUGAGAAACUAAGCCUGCGUGGAGUCAGAGCAGAGGUACUGAGGCAGUUCAUGUUUGUCUCUGCUUCUUCUUCAUUGAAGUCUCUGCGUAUACGGGAGAUUGAUGGUAUGAUAUCUCUCCCAGAGGAGCCGCUUCAAUAUGUUUCCACUCUCGAAACUCUCUACAUUGUUAAGUGCUCUGGUUUGGCAACAUUACUACACUGGAUGGGCAGCCUUUCCUCGCUUACGGAACUUAUUAUUUAUGACUGCUCUGAAUUGACAUCACUGCCAGAAGAGAUCUAUUCCCUUAAAAAACUGCAGAAAUUUUAUUUCUGUGAUUAUCCAGACCUAGAGGAAAGAUACAACAAGGAAACAGGUAAAGACCGGGCCAAGAUUGCUCAUAUCCCACAUGUUCGUUUCAACAGUGAUUUGGAUAUGUAUGGGAAGGUAGGUCCGAAAUCCCUAACCUUUCUUCCCAUUUUUAUUAUUUAAGAAUCAAAAUGCUAUGUUUUCAUUUUGUCUCUGGUAAUUCUUUUAUGUUGGCACCUCAUAUGUUUGUUUAAAUGCUCACAUCAAUAACUUUUUGAAAAAUUUUCCAGAUUUGCUGAUGCUGUGUACUAAACUAAUCAUUUUACUUGCAGUUGUACAUUCUAAGAGUUUGAGGAAAUACUGAGGUCUGGUAUGAUAACUCUCAAUCCUUGGAACUGCAUUCAUCUCCUUCUCUUUCUCGAUUAACGAUCCAUGAUUGCCCAAACUUGGCAUCAUUACCUCGUCUUGAGGAACUAAGCCUGCGUGGAGUCAGAGCAGAGGUACCGAGGCAGUUCAUGUUUGUCUCUGCUUCUUCUUCAUUGAAGUCUUUGCAUAUACGGAAGAUUGAUGGUAUGAUAUCUCUCCCAGAGGAGCCGCUUCAAUAUGUUUCCACUCUCGAAACUCUACAUUGUUAAGUGCUCUGGCUUGGCAACAUUACUACACUGGAUGGGCAGCCCUUCCUCGCUUACGGAACUUAUUAUUUAUGACUGCUCUGAAUUGACAUCACUGCCAGAAGAGAUCUAUUCCCUUAAAAAACUGCAGAAAUUUUAUUUCUGUGAUUAUCCAGACCUGGAGGAAAGAUACAAGAAGGAAACAGGUAAAGACCGGGCCAAGAUUGCUCAUAUCCCACGUGUUCGUUUCAAGUGUGAUUUCAAAUUGAAAUGGAAGGUAGGUCCGAAAUCCCCAACCUUUCUUCCCAUUUUUAUUAUUUAAGAAUCAAAAUGCUAUGUUUUCAUUUUAUUAUUAUGUUUUCAUUGUAUCCCUGGCACCUCAUAUGUUUGUUUUUACUGCUCACAUUAAUAAUUUUGAAAUUUUUUUCCAGC